UUGUAAAUGGUAAUAGAUAUAAGAAUAAUCGUUUCUUAUAGCUUAUCUUGUAAUUUUUGUGUGUAGUUUAUAGCCUUGAAUGCUUUAUAAAUGGAUUCUUACAUGACUGUGAAUUUGUGACAUGAAUUAUACAUAUUUCAAUGAUGAACAUAAGUUGCUAAAGCCUAUAUGGCUGGAACCAAAGUUAACUAGAAAUGUAAUAAGUGGUUUGGAAGUGUGGAGAAAUUUCCAAUGAUAAAUUUUUGUUAACAAUGAUUGAAAAUAUGCAUUCAUGUGAUAUGGAUGGAGGAUAGUAAUUGAAAUGAGUGGUUUUAGGUGAUAUUGGAAUUUCCUGAUGCAUAUGCUGAGUUCUUUCCAAAGAAAAAAGCAAAAAAAAGGAAAAGGAAAAAAAAAAACAAGAAAAAAAAAAAAUUUGGGCCCGGGGGAAAAAAAAAUUUUAAGGGAGUUUUUGAUCGAUCACGUGUGGCAUUGAAGAAAUUUCUUUCCAGGGUUCGAAAGGAGGUCUGCUGACUGUCAAAAGCAGAUUAAAGACAAAUUUGUGUGGUGGCAGGAUGAAAGGCAGGAUUCUCCAGUCAGUGUGUGCUAUUCGAAAGUAUCGAAAGCGCUUAAUGCAGGUAUCAUUUGGCAGCGGAGGUGCAAGCAAGAGAUGGAUAUGUUAUGGAAGAUUCGAGUUCCUAGCAGAAUCAGUAGUAUUUGGGUGUAGAAUGUUCCAGAACAGAUUACCUACAAACAUGACUGAAAAGACGCUUUGGUCAUUUCGGGAAGCCAUAGCUAGUUUGUCCCUUUUGGUUUUCAGAUGAGAGACAAUAGAAACAUCUGUUUGUGCGUUGCUCAUUUGCUGUUCAGUGCUUGGGAUGGAAUUGUUGACUGGCUUGAAAUGGAAGUUCCUGUUAUGAAUCUUCCUUUAGCAGCGCAUAGUAGUGUAAUUCCCUAAGAGCUUCAGAUCCGAGGCAGAAAUUGAAGGAACUGUUUGGCUGGCCUCUUGUUGGGCAUUGUGGCUUGUAGGAGGAAUGAGAUCUCUUCCAAGGGGGUUAAAAAUGUGGAUGUUGUUGUUAGGAAUGUAUGCUCCUGUCUUGGCACUGUGGUUUGAGUCGAACGCAUUGGGGUAUGGUUCCUGCGCUGGACGGAUUGGAUAGUCAAUCCUGUUUUGUUUAGCAAAGGAUCAUAAUUGUAAUCUCCUACGCAUAGCUCAGUGGAAAGAUUAAUCUGAAAGAACCUGUGUCUUCAAACAUAUGACCUUUAAGAUUGAAUUGAUGUGUCGGAGUAAAGUGUCUGCAACGGCAGCUAGUGGGGAUAAAUUGAUUAUGGCACUAUAAAACAUGGGUCAUCUCAACUUUAUGAGAACAAUCAAUCAUUUGAAGAAGGAGAAAACAUGAUUUAGGUUUACCUUGAAAUCAAAUUUCUAGUGAAAUGUGUGAAGAAUGUUUGCAGGCCAAGCAACAUAAGAAAUCAGUUUCAGUAAGGAUGCAGAAACAACUCAGAGCAUCUCUUGAAGUUAUAUACCUGGCGUUUUUGUAUUUACCAAGUGGAUUCAAUUGGAGGUAAAUGAAGCACUCUGUUACGAUUUAUAGAUUAUUUUAGCAUAAAAUUGAGCAUACUUGAUUAAAAGAAAAGUAAUGUGAUUGAUUGUGCUCACUUAAAUUCAAAUUUAUGGUGGAAAAGGCAAAAAUGGUCACAAGAUCAAGAUAAUUAAAGAAUGGAUGGUGGAUGAGAAUAGUAGCCCUCAUCAUUUUGAUGCAUUAUGUCCAAAGAGAAGUAAUUGUUCAUAAGGUGGUGUCAUCAUCACACCUCAACAAAUAGGCCUAGACAGGGAGAAAAAAUAAGGAUCAAUCAUGAACAGGUGAAAAGUACGUUGAAGACAAGCAUCUACCUAAUGAAUAUGGGGUGAGAUUUGUGUCCCCACUGUGUAUACUAUAAUUUUUACCCUAUGUUUUUCAUUAGCAUACAACAUAUCAUGAUCAUUCCAUUUGAUCAUGGCAUCCCAUCCAAGUCAUAGACUUCAUCAGGGUUUCAGUGAAAAAUCAGGGUUUUGACAUUUCAUUUGAUCUCAUUUAGCAUGACAUUCAUUCAUGCCAUAGACUAGGAAUCAAAGAGUAUUCCCUAGUCUCAUGUUGUCCUUUCAUAUUUUACAUCAGGUCUCAAAUAAGACUUAGAUAAUUCAUAGUUCCAAAAGUACUAUUAGUCAUGAAUCUUUGUGAGUUUGUUUGUUUUAGUAAUCAAUAUUUAAAUGUAAUAGCCCAAAGAGUUAGUCAGUUCACAUUUAUUUUCUCUAGACAAUUAUUCAUUGAUCAUUGUCAUCCAUCAAAUUUUCAUUAGAUUGGAAGUUUAUGUCAAGGAACUUGAACCUUUUUUGCUUGAGUUUUUGUUACUAAAGUUCAUUUGCAUUGCAUUUUUAAUUUUUAUGCAUCAUUAGCACCUAGUAGGGAAUGAGACAAAAGUCAAGGAAGGUUUGACUUUUUAAUCUUUUCCCCCUUAUUUUAUUCCUAAUUUCAUCUCAUCUGUUGAUUUGUUUUAAUAAUAUAAACAACGUUAUUUGCAUAAAUAAUUGAAACUUUUAUUGGAAUUUUUGUUUUGCAUUCAUAUUAGUGUACUUAGUAACAUUUCAUAUCAUUAACAUACAUAUUAAUUUACAUAUGUGCCUCUUUUCAUCAAUAUGCAUAAAGUCAAUAAAAGCACAAAAAAGAGAAAGGAAGUCAGCUCAUUUGUCAGUCAAGUCAUGUCGUGUGAGCUAAAGCUACAUCAAGUCCUUGUCCUUGCAAACCGUCGCCAUCCCACUUCUCAAGCUAUCCCUAAGUUUCCUCCAUUUGAGUUGUCUUUUAAUCAAAUCCUUCUCAAAGCAUGGUUAUCUCCCUUUGAAUCUUCAUCCAAGCAUUUACAUCAUAUGCCACAAUAAAGACAAAAAGGAGAAUGAGAUAAUUUCUAUUAGAGCAAUCAAGAUGGGGGCCAACAAAUUUAUGCCAUGCAUUGGUAUUACAAUUCAUCUGAAAUUUCACAAAACUCAACAAUGUAUGAUGCAUACAAAAAAUUUCAUUCACAGACUCCAAAUAUUUCACUAACGUGUCAGCUACCCUAUAUAAAUCAGCAAUUGUUUCAUUCAAGAAGACAACACAUUUUCAUUUAGAGUCACUCUGCAAAAUCUUCAUAGGCCGGUUCGCCUUAUAUAUUAUUUCCCUAUAAUGAAUUAAUCUAUGUGGAGCUUAAAGCUCAUAUUUCUCUGUUGAGUUACUUAGCCAUAAUUCACACAUCGUCAAAUCCUCACACUAAAAGCUCAAAGCAAACAUUAAUUUAACUCUGACUUUCACUUUGGAAAUCAGAGUGAGACUAAAACUGCAAUUAACACAAGUCUAACCAACAACAAUAUUACACACAUCACAUACAAUAGCACAUAGAGCAAAGAUCAAGAGAAAGAGAAAAAGGAGAGCGAGACGAAAUCUGAAGCAUAAAGAGAAGAGGAAACACAUUUGGUUUUUGAGGGUUUAGGGUUUAAGUUUUUAGGUUUCUAAGUGAUAUCUAGGUAGGGAUGAAUUUCCGGUUGAAAGUCCACCAGAGUUUCAUGUUGUUUAAAGGUGGCUCAGGGAGGUUUCUGGGUUAGGAUGAACUUUCUGGUUGAAGUUCAACCGGAGUUCAUAUUGUUCAUCGGCUAUGGUGGUUGGGUGAGGGCGGUAUGUUUUUUGGGGGAGGCCGAAGGUGGUGAUCAAAUAAUCUCUCCUCUCUCUCUCUCUUCUCUCCCUCUCUCAUCCUCUCUCUCUGGUUUGAGUAUUUAAACUCUCUCAUAAGGGUUGUUCCAUCUGUGGAGACUUGGCACCCAUGCAGGUUGUUCCAGCCUAACUCUCUUCCUGCAUGUCCCACUCCAAUGUAACCCUUACACCCUAAUGAUUUGCCCUUUGAUCUGCUUGACCACUUCAAGUAUGUUGCAUCUUUGCUUCAGGAGAGAGUCCAACUAAUUGACUCUCCUUGGGCUUUUCGGAUUGGGUCCUAGGUCCACAACUAACUUUUCCGCCCCCCUGUGUUCUUUUGCAUUUACGAUUUGCCCUGGUUCUAUUUUUGGCAAUAACCCAUUUUUUAUCUUUAAUUGUUUUUUACUAUUUAUUUUCCAUAUUUUGGUUUAAUUUGUGAAAUAUAUUUAAUAGAUUAUUUAGUUUAAUUGGUCAUUAAUUAAAUUUAAAUUAAUUAAUUUUUAAAUGAUUUAAUUUUAUUAAAUUAAUUCGUAUUACUUAAUUAAAUUAGACCUGGUUUUAUUUUACCUCUCUUGUUAUGUUUUGAUUAUUAUCAUAAUACUUCUCAUUUCAAUUUUGUAAUUCAUUAAUCAUCUUGAUUAUGUUUGUUAGCAAUUUGUUUAAAUGACUAACAAAUUAAUUGAUGAAUAAAAAAAUUACAUUAUUUUGUUCGUAAACCUUUUUAAAAAUGAUUGAAACCCUUGGCCCAACACCAAGAGUGUUUUUUGAAAAAACUGGUCAACACCAAUGAUUUUUCUCCCCAAAUCGUUUCCACAUUCCCGUUUCCUACGCGAAUCAAACCUCGAUCACUCGAGCGCUUUUUCCAUUUGAAAGUCAAAACAUUAGUCAUAUCUUGAACACCAAUUUUACAGGUUGAAAAUGGAGAUAGCUAUGAGCCUUUGAUCUCCUCCUCCUCGAUUGUUUGGAUACAAUCUCCCUUACUCGAGCCAUUUGGAGAAAUCGUCAUCCCUAUAAAAACUUCUAAUGUAAUUCAUCUCAAACCACUUUCAUAAUCAAUUCUAAUCAAACUCAGUUUUCAUAAACAACUUGGACGAAAAGGAAGUGUCUAGAGCCUUCUAUUCUCUUCCCCGAAUACUUGGAUACGAGUUUCCUUAAUCGCCGUUCGAGUAUUCAUCGUCAUCUGACCACAAUCAUUAACAUUACUCAAAAUCCUUUUUAUAAUUAAAGGAUGAAAAGGAGAUGGUCCUAGAACCUUAUAUUCCUCUUCUCGAUAUUCGGAUACGAGUUGCCUACUCUUCGAGUUAAUCAUCAUCCAAAAAAAAUAUUCAACAAAUCAAACCUUAUUUUACCCAUUACGUGACUUCGGAAAACCUUUUCAGAAACGAGUAUGCUUUAAUCCAUAAUCAAUGUUGAAACAAACAAAUGCUUCUGACUCUAAAGAGAGAAGCUAAGCAGGUUUAAACCACUUCGAUAUAUCUAAAGACAUACUCCUGAAAAGUAACCAACAAACAGUUCUUUUUCUAUAAAACAACAAACCCUACGUACCUUUCAGUUCUCCAUCUCACCUAGAGAUACUAGGAAUGGGAUUUUGAAAUCUAGUCAGGCACAUUAAUAAAAAAAAACCUAAAAAUCUUUUCUUUUCUUUUCUCUCGCUCAAUAAGUCAAAGAAACAAUUAAAAUUCGCUAACAUUCAAUUGCAAGUUUUAACUUAUAGGUUCUCGUUGAUACAACGGCGUGAGGGGUACUAAUACCACCUUCCCCUUACGAUAAAUCGACUACCAAACCCGAAUUGGUUGCGAAGGACCAUUUUUAUUUUCUCUUACGAAUUUUAUUCGAUAUUUUCUCUUUCCUUUAUAGGAAUAAAAUAAAGUUAUAUAUGUGGUGACUCCCUGUUCGAAUCAAAUUUUCUGCGAGCGUGUGAACGCUUACGAAAGGAUAAUAUUUUCGAAUACGAGAACUGCAACCUUCAGGCCUGGCGAAUGGGGAAGCAUUAAUCUCGAACCUGCUGGGGAAUAACCAUCCGAACCCUGCUAGGGAGGCCACAGACCUUGAAUCUGUUGGGGGAUUGUCAUUCCACUCUGCUUGGAAAGAUGAGGAAAAAUCUGUAGCUGACACACCGUCGAUUCGCCGAACCUUGGUAUUCAAUAUCAAUUCCCAAUAUCAGCUUUCCACUUUUGGAGAGUUCCCAGACUCGUCUGGACCUUUUUCUGCCUCUAUUCAUCUGGUAUUUCCAACGCGCUCCGCACUCGACGGAGAGCGAACCCCUGGGUGUACACAGACUUUUCAUUUUUCAGACUUUGAAGGGUCUUCUUGAUUAAAUUUCCACGGAUCAUUCGUACGCCUGCGCCGUCUUUUCACCGUUCUUCUUAUCAUUCGUCCCUGAUUGGACUCAUGGGGAUCGUCUCGUCCAAGAGCUUCACAUCCCAACCUGCAAGUGAGGGGAAAUAUCUAACAGUACCUGCAAAAGAGAUCGUUAGAUAAAACCGUGCCCCAGGCGUGUCAAGAUUCAACAAUUGGGUCACUCCCACUUCCGAAUAAGAUUCAAGCUUUCAAUCUAUAAAGCAUCAUUGGAAGGGACCUGUAUGUUUAAACCUGCAAAAUUCUUUAUCAAAAAAAUAACCUGGAUUUUUUGCAAUCAAAGCGGUAAUGAAAAAGCAAAAACAAAAUUAUUUGACUGAAUAAUGCAUUUUUAUUGAUUGAAAAAGUGGUGGCUCACCAUUGAGCAAUACAAAGGAAGCAAUUCUGAAAAGAGGUAAUUGCGGCACAAAAAGAAAAAUCUAUCCUAAUGGAAAUGUUGAAACCUGCGAUCUCAUCGAGUUCCAACUCGGUUAACACCCCUAGUGUCAUCAGAAAUCUCCAGUGCUUUCUGCCUUCUGAACAAGACGCUUCCGACUGAUCCCUACCGGGUUAUCCAUGAUGCUGUUAACGCAAAGCACAAACGAUCAAUGCCAGAGCGCAGUUGUUCGUCAAUCCCUCUUUGCCUGACCGCCCUAUUUCCGGUUUUCAAGUCCACCGGGAUACCCUUUUUUUGCCCAAAGUCGCCCUUUCAGGUUUUCGACUUGCGGUUGUACAGUUUUUUUUCAUUUUAAUCCCUACUUUUUGCCCUGAACAUUUUCUUUUCUUUGUUUUUCGGUUCGCCGGGAUGCCCUUUUUUGCUGGACUAUUUGUAUUCUUUUCGUCCAGCGGGUCUUAUUUAUACGAGUAUUUUUUAACUGCGUCCGCAAUUCAAACCAGGGGAUGAAAAUCCUCGCCAUCACAUGGUCAUUAGGCACAAGGCUCCGCCAGAGAAACCUUCUUGACCACGAAUGGACCUUCAUAAUUGGGUGUCCAUUUUGCCCCUACGAUCGUUUUGAGGCCGGAAGAUCCUUUCAAGCACCAUAUCACCUAACGUGAUAUAACACCCGAGCUCGUACCUUUUUUUAUCAAAGCACGCCUUCAUCCGCUGCUGGAUAACUUGCCCAUGACAGAUGGCUGCUAAGCCUCUUCUCUUCAAUAAGGCUCAACUCCUUCAUACCGGGUCCUUACCCAUGUCAGCCUCUGCACAUUUAGUCAAAUAAUUUUGUUUUUGUUUUUCAUUACCGCUUUGAUUGCAAAAACAUCCAGGUUAUUUUUGAUAAAGAAUUUUGCAUUUUAAGACAUACAGGUCCCUUCCAAUGCAUGCUUAUAAGAUUGAAGCUUGAAAUCUUAUUCGGAAGGUUGAGUGACCCAAUUGUUGAAAUCUUGACACGCCUGGGGCACGGUUUUAUCUAACGAUCUCUUUUGCAGGUACUGUUAGAUAUUUCCCCUCACUUGCAGGUUGUGAUGUGGAAGCUCUUGGACGAGACGAUCCCCAUGGAGUCCAAUCAGGGACGAAUGAAUAGAAGAACGGUGAAAAGACGGCGAGGCGUACGAUGAUCCGUGGAAAUUAAUCAAGAAGACCCUUCAAAGUCUGAAAAUUGAAAAGUCUGUGUAAAUCCCAGGGGUUCGCUCUCCGUCGAGUGCGGAGCGGUUGGGAAUACCAGAUGAUAGAGCAGAAAAGGUCCAGACGAGUCUGGGAACUCUCAAAAGUGGAAAGCUGAUAUUGGAAUUGGAUAUUGAAUACCAAGGUUCGGCGAAUCGACGGGUGUUCAGUACCAGAUUUUCCUCAUCUUUCCAAGCAGAGUCUAGGUCCAGACGAGUCUGGGAACUCUCAAAAGUGGAAAGCUGAUAUUGGAAUUGGAUAUUGAAUACCAAGGUUCGGCGAAUCGACGGGUGUUCAGUACCAGAUUUUCCUCAUCUUUCCAAGCAGAGUCAGAAUGACUAAUCCCCCAACAGAUUCAAGGUCUGUGGCCUCCCUAGCAGGGUUCGGAUGGUUAUCCCCAGCAGGUUCGAGAUUAAUGCUUCCCCAGUCGCCAGGCCUGAAGGUUGCAAGUUUCCCAGCGGAAGUAUCUGUGUGCGGUGGUUCCUCAAGCGGAGUCAGGAUUGAUAUCCCCAGCAAGUCAAAGACAGUUGUAUCCCCACAGAGUGCAUGGGUGGUGCUUCCCCAGCAAUGUCCCCAGGCGGAUUGGGUGCAAAGGAGGUUUUCCCCAGCAGGGGUUGCUUUUCUCAGCAGCAGUGCUAUUCCCCAGCAGGGUGGAAUCGGAGUGUUGACGAGUUCCUCAGCAGAGUAUCUCGAGCUCCCCAGACGAGUCCCUUGAGGGGGAUGCCUUUUUAUACAUUCAUCAUGAAAAAUAGCAUGGCAUAUUGCAUAAAUAAAUCGCGUAGCAUUUCCAUAAUUAUGGAGCAUUACGCUGAAAAAAUAUCAUGCAUCAUAUUGCAAGCAUAAGCUAGUCUCAAGCCGUGGUUAUUGUUUGAGAGGUGGUUUUGCCCAAAGGUGAAGGUGUUACUCUGAGGAGUUUAGCAUAGGUCCAGACGAGUCUGGGAACUCUCAAAAGUGGAAAGCUGAUAUUGGAAUUGGAUAUUGAAUACCAAGGUUCGGCGAAUCGACGGGUGUUCAGUACCAGAUUUUCCUCAUCUUUCCAAGCAGAGUCGGAAUGACUAAUCCCCCAACAGAUUCAAGGUCUGUGGCCUCCCUAGCAGGGUUCGGAUGGUUAUCCCCAGCAGGUUCGAGAUUAAUGCUUCCCCAUUCGCCAGGCCUGAAGGUUGCAAGUUCUCGUAUUUCGAAAAAUAUUAUCCUUCGUGAAGCGUUCACACGCUCGCAGAAAAUUGAUUCGAACAGAGUCACCACAUAUAUAACUUUAUUUAUUCCUAUAAAGGAAAGAGAAAAUAUCGAUAAAAUUCUUAAGAGAAAAAUAAAAAUGGUCUUCGCAACCAAAUUCGGGUUUGGUAGUCGAUUAUGUAAGGGGAAGGUAUUAGUACCCCUCACGUCCGUUGUAUUCAACGAGAACCUAUAAGUUAAACUUGCAAUUGAAUGUUAGCGAAUUUUAAUUGUUUUCUUUGACUUAUUGAGCGAGAGAAAAGAAAGAAAAGAUUUUUAGGUUUUUUUUUAUUAAUGUGCCUGACUAGAUUUCAAAAUCCCAUUCCUACGUAUCUCUAGGUGAGAUGGAGAACUAAAGGAUACGUAGUUCUUUAUAGAAAAGAACUGUUUGUUGGUUACUUUUCAGGAGUGAUUCUUUAGAUAUAUCGAGUGGUUAAACCUUUGCUUACUUCUCUCUCUUAGAGUCAGAAGCAUUUGUUUGUUUCACAUUGAUAUGGAUAAAGCAUACUCGUUUCUGAAAAGGUUUCCGAAGUCACGUAAUGGCGUAAAAUAAGUUUGAUUUGUUGAAUAUUUUUUUGGAUGAUGAUUACUCGAAGAGUAAGGCAACUCGUAUCCGAAUAAUCGAGAAGAGGAAUAUAAGGUUCUAGACCAUCUCCUUUUCAUCCUUAAUUAUAAAAGGAUUUAGGUAAUGUUAAUGUAUUGUGGAUGGACGAUGAAUACUCGAACGGUCGAUUAAGGAAACUCGUAUCCAAGUAUUCGGGGAAGAGAAUAGAAGGCUCUAGACCACUUCCUUUUUCGUCCAAGUUGUUAUGAAAACGAGUUUGAUUAGAAUUGAUUAUGAAAGUGGUUUGAGAUGAAUUACAUUAGAAGUUUUUAAUGGAUGACGAUUUCUCAAAUGGUCGAGUAAGGGAGAUUGUAUCCAAACAAUCGAGGAGAGGAAUCAAAGGCUCUAGACUAUCUCCAUUUUCAACCUGUAAAAUGGUGUUCAAGUAUGACUAAAUGUUUUGACUUCAAAUGGAAAAAGCGCUCGAUGUUGAUCGAGGUUUUUAUUCGCGUAGAAACGGAAUGUGGAAACGAUUUGGGAGAAAAAUCACUUGGUGUUGGACCAAGGUUUUUCAAAAACACUCUUGGUGUUGGGCCAAGGGUUUCAAUCAUUUUUAAAAAGUUUACUAACAAAAUUAAUGUAAUUUUUUUUAUUCAUCAAUUAAUUUGUUAGUCAUUUAAACAAAUGCUAACAAACAUAAUCAAGAUGAUAAUGAAUACAAAUUGAAAUGAGAAGUAUUAUGAUAAAUAAUCAAAACAUAACAAGAGAGUAAAAUAAAACCAGGUCUAAUUAAUUAAGUUAAUAAGAAUUAAUUAAUAAAAUUAAUCAAUUUUAAAAUUAAUUAAUUAAAUUAAUUAAUGACAAUUAACUAAAUUAAUCUAUUAAAAUAUAUUUCACAAAUUAAACCAAAAUAUGAGAAAUAAAUAGUAAAAAACAAUAAAGAUAAAAAAAUGGGUUAUUGCCAAAAAUAGAACCAAGGCCAAAUCGUAAAUGCAAAAGAAAACAGGGGGCGAAAAGUAGUUGUGGACGCUAGCCCAAUCCUGAAAAAGCCCCAAAGAGAGAGUCAAAUAGUUGACUCUCUCCUGAACGCAAGAUGCACAUACUUGAAGUGGUCAAGCAGAUCAAAGGGCAAAUCAUAGGGUGUAGGGUACAUUGGAGUGGGGAACAUGCAGGGAAGAGAGUUAGGUGACAACCUGCAUGGGUGCCAAGUCUCCACAGAUGGACAACCCUAUGAGAGAGUUUAAAUACUCAAACUCAGAGAGAGAGAGAGAGAGAGAGAGAGAGAGAGAGAGAGAGAGAUUAUUUGAUCACCACCUUCGGCCUCCCCCAAAAAACAUAUCCGCCCUCACAACCACCAUAGCCCGAUGAACAAUAUGAACUCCGGUUGAACUUCAACCAGAAAGUUCAUCCUAACCCAGAAACCUCCCUGAGCCACCUUUAAACAACAUGAACUCUGGUUGGACUUCAACCGGAAAGUUCAUCCCUACCUAGAUAUCACUUAGAAACCUAAAAACUUAAACCCUAAACCCUCAAAACCAAAUUGUUUCCUCUUCUUCUUUAUGCUUCAGAUUUCGUCUCGCUCUCCUUUUUCUCUUUCUUCUUGGAUUUUGCUCUAUGUGCUAUUGUAUGUGAUGUUGUGUAAUAUUGUUGUUGGUUAGACUUGUGUAAUUGCAAGUUUUAGCUAUUCUCACUCUGAAUUUCAAAGUGAAAGUCAGAGUAGAAUUAAUGUUUGCUUGAGCUUUUAGUGUGAGGAUUUGACGAUGGUGAAUUAUGGUGAAGUAACUCAACAGAAAAUAUGUAGCUUUAAGCUCACAUAGAUUAAUUCAUAUAGGGAAAUAAUAUAUAAGCGAACCGGGCCUAAUGAGAUUUCUGCAGAGUGACUCUAAUGGAAAAAUGUGUGUCUUCUUGAAUGAAACAAUUGCUUGAUUUAUAUAGGGUAGCUGACACGUAUGAAAUAUUUGGAAGUCUGUGAAUGAAAUUUUGCUAUGCAUCAUACAUGUGAGUUUGUGAAAUUUCAGAUGAAUUGUAAUACCAAUGCAUGCAUAAAUUUGUGGCCCCCAUCUGAUUUUCUCUAAUAGAAAUUAUCCUCAUUCUCCUUUUUGUCUUAUUGUGCAUAUGAGUAAAUGGCUUGGAUGAAGUUCAAAGGAGAUAACAUGGCUUUGAGAAGGAUUUGAUUAAAGACAACUCAAAUGGAGGAAACUUAGGGAUAGCUUGAGAAGUUGAUGGCGAGGUUGCAAGGACAAGGACUUGAUGUAGCUUAGCUCACACGAAUGACUUGACUUGGACAAAUGGAGCUGACUUCCUUUCUCUUUUUUGUGCUUUUUAUUGACUUUAUGCAUAUUGAUGUAAUAAGAGGCACAUAUGUAAUGUAAUAUGUAUGUAAUGAUAUGAAAUGUUUACUAAGUACACUAAUAUGAAUGCAAAACAAAAAUUCCAAUAAAAGUUUCAAUUAUUUAAUUGCAAAUAACGUUGUUUAUUAUUAUUAAAACAAAUCAAAGAUGAGAUGAAAUUAGGAAUAAAAAGGGAAAAGAUAAAAAGUCAACCUUCUUGACUUUUGUCUCAUUCCCUACUAGGUGCUAAUGGAUGCAUAAAAAUAAAAUGCAAUGCAAAUGAACUUAGUAACAAAACUCAAGCAAAAGGUUCAAGUCUUGACAUAUAACUUCCAAUCUAAUGAAAUAUUGAUGGAUGACAAUGAUGCAGAUGAAUAAUGUCUAGAGAAAAUAAAUGUGAACUGACUAACUCUUGGGCUAAUUACAUUUAAAUAUUUGAUUACUAAAACAAACAAAAACUCACAAAGAUUCAGAUGACUAAUAGUACUCUUGACUAUGAAUUAUCUAAGUCUUUGAGACCUGAUGUAAAAAUAUGAAAGACAACAUGAGACUAGGGAAUACUCUUGAUUCCUUAGUCUAUGGAUGAAUGAAUGUCAUGCUAAUGAGAUCAAAUGAAAUGUCAAAACCCUGAUUUUUCACUGAAACCCUGAUGAAUGUCUAUGCUUGAUGGGAUGCAUGAUCAAAUGGAAUGAUCAUGAUAUGUUGAUGCUAAUGAAAAACAUAGGGUAAAAUUUAGAGUAUGACACAGUGGACACAAUCUCACCCCAUAAUUCAUUAGGUAGAUGCUUGUCCUUCAACGUACUUUUCACCAUGUUCAUGAUGAUCCUAUUUUUUCUCCCUGUAGGCCUAUUUUGUUGAGGUGUGUAUGAUGACACCACCUUAUGAACAAUUACUUCUCUUUGACAUAAUGCAUCAAAAUGAUAGGGCUACUAUUCUCAUCCACCAUCCAUUCUUAAUAUCUUGAUCUUGUGACCAUUUUGCCUUUCCACCAUAAAUUUGAAUUUAGUGAGCACAUCAAUCACAUUACUUUUCUUUUUAAUCAAGUAUGCUCAAAUUUUAUGCUAAAAUAAUCUAUAAAUGUAACAGAGUGCUUAUUACCUCCAAUUGAAUCCACUUGGUAAUACAAAAACGCCAGAGUAUAUAACUUCAAGAGAUGCUCUAGAGUUGUUUCUGCAUCCUUACUGAAACUAUUCUUAUGUUGCUUGGCCUGCAAACAUUCUUCACACAUUUCACUAGAAAUUUGAAUUUCAGGUAAACCUGAAAUCAUGUUCUCCUUCUUCAAAUGAUUGAUGUCUCUAAAGUUGAGAUGACCAUGUUUAUAGUGCCAUAAUCAAUUAUCCCCACUAGCUGCCGUUGCUAGACACUUUUACUCCGACACAUCAAAUUCAAUCUUAAAGGUCAUAUUUUGAGACACAGGUUCUUUCAAGAUUAAUCUUCCACUUGAGCUAUGCGUAGGAGAUUACAAAUUAUGAUCCUUUGCUAAACAGAAAACAGGAUUGACUAUCCAAUCCGUCCAAGCGCAGGAACCAUACCCCCAAUGGUUCGACUCAAACCAAGUGCCAAGACAGGAGCAUAACAUUCCUAACAACAACAUCCACAUUUUUAACCCCCUUGGAAGAGAAUCUCAUUCCUCUACAGCCACAAUGCCCAACAAGAGGCCAGCCAAAACAGUCCUUCAAUUCUGCCUCGAAUCUAAGCUCUUAGGGAAUACACUACUAUGCGCUGCUAAAGAAGAUUCCAUAACAGGAACUUCCAUUUCAAGCCAGUCAACAAUUCCAUCCCAGCACUGAACAGCAAAUGAGCAACUCACAAACAGAUGUUCUAUUGUCUCUUCAUCUGCAAAACAAAAGGGACAAACUAGGCUAUGGCUUCCCGAAAUGACAAAGCGUCUUUUCAGUUCCUGCUUUGUAGGUAAUCUGUUCUGGAACAUUCUACACCCAAAUACUCUGAUUCUGCUAGGAACUUCGAUCUUCCAUAACAUAUCCAUCUCUGCUUGCACCUCCGCUGCCAAAUGAAUACCUGCAUUAAGCGCUUUCGAUACUUUCGAAUAGCACACACUGACUGAGAAUCCUGCUUCAUCCUGCCACCACACAAAUUUGUCUUUAAUCUGCUUCUGACAGUCAGCAGACCUCCUUCGAACCCUGGAAGAAAUUUCUCACUGCCACACGUUAUCGAUCCAAACUCCUAAAUCCGCAAUCUUUCCUUCUGCUUCUGAGAACUCAGCAUAUGCAUCAGGAAAUUCCAAUAUCACCUAAAACCACUCAUUUCCAAUUACUAUCCUCCAUCAUAUUCACAUGAAUGCAUAUUUCAAUCAUUGUAUAACAAAAAUUUAUCAUUGGAAAUUCUCACACUUCCAAACACUUGUACAUUUCUAGUUAACUUGGUUCAGCCAUAUAGGCUUUAGCAACUUAUGUUCAGUCAUUGAAAUAUGUAUAUUCAUGUCACAAAUUCACAGUCAUAAGAAUCCAUUAUAAAGCAAUUCAAGGCUAUAAACUACACACAAAAAUUACAAGAUAAGCUAUAAGAUAACGAUAUUCUUAUAUCUAUUACCAAUUACAAACAUAUCAAUAAUGUAUCAACUUUUUUGGCAGUAGUCACUAUAUAUGUGACAUAUUCAUCCUCAUACUUAGCUCACUAUACUAUAUCAUAAUGAAAGAAAGUAAAUUAUACAUUAAUAUCAUCAUAGUUUUAAAUUGUAGUCUGCAAUAUGUUUAUAAUCAAGGAGAAGAUUUUGUUGAGGAAGUAGGGGGUGAGCCAGGGCUAUGAGGAGGUGGGAAUAGUGGAGGAAAAGGAAAUGGUAAAAUUGAUUUUGGUGGUGGCGGCGGCGGUGGUGAUGGAGUGAUACCUGGUACUACUAUUGGUGGAAAGAGAGAGAAAGGUGGUGGACUUGAUGGUGGAGGCUGAAAUGGAUUUGGAAGGAGUGGUGGAGGACUUGAAGGAGGAGGUUGAAAUGGAUUAGGUAGAAAUGGUGGUGGACUUGGUGGUUGAAAUGGAUUUGGAAUCAAAGGUGGACUAGGUGGUUGAAAAGGAUUAGGAAUCAAUGGUGGUGGUGUAAAAGGGUUAGGAAUCAAAGGUGGUUGAAAUGGAUUAGGAACCAAAGGUGGAUUCAAAGGGUUUGGAGGAAAAAAGAAAAAAUCUUCAACUUCAUUUUUCUUAGGGUUUUGAGUACUAUGCUUAUUUUGGUCACAAAAUUUUGGCUUUUUUAUUGGCUUGAAUGAGAAAAAUCCAGCUGAAAAAAUGUGUUCAUCUUGCAACUUUUUCUUUAGGGUUAGUGAAAAUGAAGUGGAAGUUGAAGCAAUAGCACAAUUUGGUUCAUUGCUACUUAACAACUUGAAGUUACACCCUUUGAUUCUCUUCACAUUUUUUCUCACUAAGAAAGGUAGCUUUACUUUGAAUUCUCCUUGUUCAUUAGUCUUCACUUCUUUGUAGAAUCUUUGUUUUGUUUUUCCUAGUUUGCAUUCAACAGCUAUUGAUGCACCUAUACAUUUUGGACAAGGUUUUAGAAAUUUUUAUAACAUGAUAUAAAAUAUAGAUCAGAUACAUUAACUAUUACUUAUAAUAGUGAUUGAUUGGAGGGUGAAUUACCUGAAAUGAAGCGGCUUUCUUGAGAGAAAGUUUGUUGAAAACAUGUGUCACAAAAGACAGUGCCAACUACAGAAGGCGAAGGAUGAAGCUUCUUGUUGACAUGUUUUGCUUCUGAAAGAUUUGUACCAAAUGUGAGAGUGAGAAACAAAAUUGUAAGAAACCAAGACAUUUUGAUAAGGUUUGAGUUUGGAUGCAAAUGAAAAAUUGUAAUGUGUUUCUAAAUAAAUAAUGCUUAGCAUUGAAAAUAGAAUAAGAAUAGAAAAAACAAGCAUACCUACUAGAUAAGUUUAUGAACUAGAGUUUGUUUUACUAGGAAAAAUCCAAAAAGUUUCACUAGGUAUAUUUUGGAAGUUUGUUCUUAGUUGAUGUGAAUGAAUGGACUAUAAUUGAAUCACUGUUGAGUCACGAGACACACUGAAGAACCACAUACUCUAUGAGUACAAGACACUUAUCAACUAUGUUAGAAUGACAUGUGAAAUAUAUUGUAUAGUUAUGCAUGUGAAUAAAUAUUAGUACUAUUAAUGCAUAAAACUAUCAUAGUUUUUGGAAGUUUGUGUUUGGUUUGGGAGUAUGGGUUGAUAUUGUUGAAAAAUUAGUGGGAAGAAGAUAAUAAUGUUGUUGGAAGUGAUUUAUGAUUUCAUAAGUCAUACUAAAUACAAAAUAUUUUGAGAUUGUUCACUAUGGACAAAUAUGUGAUCAAGUUGUUUGGUGAGAUUAGGAGUGUCUUGGAUAAACUGAUAAAUUAACGCCCUUACAAUAACUUGAAAAUUUUCUCCUUGCAUUUUUUGUUAAAAAUUAUAAUGACACUUUCAUAAUCAAGGAUUUUUAAAUAAAAAUAAUAAGCAUUUGGAAUGAGAAAAAAAAAACAUAAAUAGAAAAAAAAAACACAUUGUUUUGAAUUAUAUAACUUUGAUUGAUAAUUUUUUUGAGAUAAUUCUUACAUAUGUGUACUCAAUAAUAGUCAUUAGUUUAAUUUUAUUGAUUAUCUAUAACGAUAAUCCUUCGUUAUAGGAAUUUCAGUUAUUUCGUUAGUGUAUAUAAAGAGUGUUAAUUCUCUUUGAAUCGAUACGAAACAAUUUUUUUUCUUUAUUAUGUGUCAAGCUAUAUGCACAUUAAUAUGGUAUCACAGAUAGAAAUAUUUUUUGUUACUCUCUCUUUCCCCGUCACUUGGCUUUUUUUCUCUCUUCUUUGCCUCCAUAUGAUCUCUGUGCCUUAUCCUUCCUUCUUUAGAAUAUCUUUUCUCCAAUUGGCUUCUCAAGAUUCUCCUCGAAAUCCAUCCUCAUUACCUCUCUUUUGUUCAACAUUUCUUCCACGUGUCGGUCUCUUUUUGGUCAUUUGGGAUUUUGUUCUUAUUCUCACAUGUUUACUCUAGAUAACAUUUUCACUUACCCUCAAUUUUUUGCUUUUCUUUCUCUCUCUUCAUCUGAAAUUCCCAUCGUUCUCUCGGCUUCUUCAUACCAAGAACUUCCUUCCCUAGAAAUUCACAUAACCACCCUUUUCCCCACUAAAAUCAACCUUUUUUUCAUAAAUAAUCAAUUAUCUCUGUUUUCUUUCUGAUUCUUAGCAUCGUAUCAACCAAUUUCACCGUUUCCCCUCAUUUUCUUCUCCCCAUCAAAACCAUAACCAUCUUUUUCUUUUCUAUUUUCACCCCCUCUUUCUUUUCAUCAAACAUGACAGAUUAGACUUACCUUCAUUUUGCAACGAAUUUGUCAAACCCUUAUUACAUCCAUCCCAAUGAAAACCCAACCCUCAUCCUUGUUUCUCCGCUGCUCAAUAGCAAAAACUACCUAUCUUGAGCUCGUUCCAUGAAGGUCAUUCCCUUUGGCUAUAAAUAGAAGGCUUCUGAGCUCAUUUGAAGAACACUUUAUGUGCCAGCUUUGCCCCCCAUUGAAACCCUCUCAUUCUAAAGGAAAACCUGAGAAAUUUCAAUUUGAAAUUUGAGUUUGAAUCUCAACUGUUGGAGAUUCAAGAACUCCAGGAUCCAAAGUCUUGCAACCUCUCUAAUCACUUCCUGCUAGCUUCUCAAGUAUGAUCAAAUCGUGUUUGGAGCAAGCAACAUCAAGAACUGCAUAGCAUUGAAGGUAAUUUUCAGAAAACUUCAUCUCUUCGAUUCUCACUUAAUUCUACUCAAUUCUUUUGGAUCUUUGGUUGUCUGAAGUCCUACCAAUGUAGGCAAGAAAAUUGAGUUGCUUAGAGGUCAAAUCGAAGCAACUCAGUUGACACACCUCAAAAUUCAACUCCUCAUAUCUUUUUAUAUAUUUGGAGUUAGUUGAAAUUGAGGUCAGAUUCGUGCUUUACGCCAUUUUUUGUCAAAUCGAAGCAACUCAGUUGACACACCUCAAAAUUCAACUCCUCAUAUCUUUUUAUAUAUUUGGAGUUAGUUGAAAUUGAGGUCAGAUUCGUGCUUUACGCCAUUUUUUCUUUCAGAUCAUGUCUUCCUUUUGUAUUUUGGUGAUGGUUAAAGGUGGAUCAGUCCGGUGAGGUCCACCGGAGAAGGAGACCGGAGUUCGGGCUCCGGCAAUGUGUUGGCAUCUCUCCCAGCCAUAGGAUCCAGUUGAUAUGUUUUAAUCCCAGCCAUAGGAUCCUUUUCAAAUAUUUUAAUCUCACCCGUUGGUUUUGAUUACCAUCCCUGCAGCGCAUUGACUAGUGUCCAUUAUGGAACGCGCGCUGAGGACCACUUGAUCUGCCACCUCAAUUAAUGAGGGAGAUCAAGUGGUCCACGUUUUUUUGCUAUUUUCUGAUUUUCAUUUUAAUCCUUUUAUUUUCAUUAAUUCAUAUUAAUUUUAAUAUUGAUCCAAAAAAUAUGAGAGUUUCACCAAAUAAUUUUAAAUAAUUUCCUCUUUAAUAUUUUGAAUUAAAAUUAUUUUUUGGAUCAUUAUUAAUAUUUUUUAUGAUUUAAUUGAUUUUGUAAUUAUUUUUAAUUGUUUAAAAUUACUUUUAAGUCUUUAAAAAUUCAGAAAUUUUUUCUCCGAGGUCCUUUGAUCUUGUUUGACCUAUGAUAAAUCUCAUGGCUAUUUCUUUGGUGUUUUGAUGAGGUUUUAGGAAUUUGACAAACUAUAUUUAAUUUAAAUGCCUUAUUUUAGUAUUUUUAAUUUGAAUAAAUGCCAAAUAAUUGUGUUGACCAAUUGUGAUGACUUGUUUGAGUUUGAAUCUUGUUGUUGGGCCUUGGUCAAGGUUGAUUUGACUUUGUCAAGUUAAUAUCAUCGGAUUUAGGGGAUUGAUGGAAUGUACAUUCCAUCUCCCAAAAUGAAUGGAUGAUAUUAAUUUGGUAAAAGUCCUCCUUUGACCAAUUUGAGUUUUGAUCCAUUCCCCUCCCUCUUCAUCUCAUUCCCUAUUCCAUCUCCCAAAAUGAAUGGAUGAUAUUAAUUUGGUAAAAGUCCUCCUUUGACCAAUUUGAGUUUUGAUCCAUUCCCCUCCCUCUUCAUCUCAUUCCCCUUCUUUAUGCAUUCAUCUCAUUUGACCUAUGAUAUCUCAAAGUUUUAAGGCUAGUUGAUUGAAAAAUCAACAUAAGUAUGGAUGAGAUGAGGUCACCUCUUUUGCAUAUUCUUUUUUAUGUGUGGUAUGUUUCAUAAGCAUAGUCCAUUAUACUAUGUACCUAACAUGCAUUAACACCAAAAUUCUAUUGCCCCGCCUCAAAUAGUUGUGACUUCUACAUAAGUCCAAUUACGAUUACUUAACAUAGCGUUAAAUUUGUGACACAAAAGGCAUAGCAUUCUAGUUAGUGAGAUUGCAAGUCUCCCCUCUUUCAUGGUAUUGUGUGGAAACUUGGCAUUUUUUCCUUCCUUUGGAAGAUGUCUUGACUCAAGGAUCCAUGCUUAUGAUAAGUGGGUUGAGUGUUCUCCAAAGAAUGACUUAAAAUGAAAAGCAAAAGCAAAACAAUACUAACUUCUAACUCAUUAAAAACUAACUUUUAAUUUCAAGCCAUUUAGUUGAAUGUCAUUUAAUUUUAGUCUUUAUUCAUUUGUCAUUAUUCAUACCAUUCUAAUUGUUUAUGUUAAUGCAAUUUUCAGAAACAGGUAAACCUGGUAUAACACACUAUAUAGAACAAACACAUAACUUUGCUUGUUUGUGUGGUCUUUGACCAUUAAUGUACAUAAUAACAACAAAAACCCUAAAAAAACUUUUGUGUGGAUCGUUGGCUUGAUCUUGGACAAUUGGACUUAGAAUCUAGGCAACAUUCCUAUGCUAGAGUACUUGGCCAAUGCCAAUUUUUUAUGUAAACAAGUUCUUGCAAUUUGGAACUUCAUCUGAUACAUCAUUCAAGAUCCCUUUGAGUUCAUCUGCAACAUGAUCAUUGUGAAGCUGUUAUUUUGAACAUGUGACUUGUGAAAUUCAUCUGUUGCAUGGGCUAAUUUGAAGAAGAUCAUGGAGUGGAUAAGCUUGGAUGUGGCUAUCUUUAUUUGAUGCCCUUUCUCUUCAAGAUUGAUAUAAUUGUGCAUUUGUGUGUUACUUAAUUCAAAAUGUCCAAGGGAAUCUGGGUUUCUAUUUACAUUCUUGUCUAUUGGAUUGCUACCCAUUGGUUAGAUCUUUUCAACUCUUAACUUUUAAUGUUGUGCAUAGGAUUAGUCUCUUCAUCUUCUCCCCAUUUCUUAAAUUUCAAAAUCUCUCCCUCCCUUUUUAAAAAUCUUCUUUAUUUGAACUUGUUUUGUUCUAAACUUUGACCACUUUGUAAAAAAUAUAAACUUUGGCCUUAUGCCAUUUCAUUUUCAAACUUCUUUUCUUAAAUCAAAUUUGUAAAUAAACUUAACUAUACUUGACUUAAACUUUCAGAAAAUCCAAAAAGAACUAACCCAUUAAAACCAUUUUUAGGCCUUUGUGCCUUUCAAACUUAAUUUUUGUUAAAAGCAAUGCAUUCACUUUGAAAUUUGUAUCACGAACUACGAGGUUUUGAUCCCUCAUUUUUAUGUUGGUACGUAGGACAGCAAGUCCGAAGGUCUUGUCAAUACAAAAAUAUAAUUAAUGAAUUAUUUUCUCAUCCCCCCCCCCCGCCCCCCCUCAUUCUAUUUGUUUGUAAACAUCAUUUUUGUACCAAAUACAUAUGCACACAAAAAGGGCUCCCUGGGAGUACCUAGGACACUUUGGGUGGUAACACCUUCCCUCUGUGUAACCAACCCCCUUACCUAUAAUCUCUGGCAUUUUAUUAGUUUUAAUUUGAACUUCUUACUUCUGGGUUUUGUUCGUACUUUUCCCUUUUCCCUUGGAAACAAUAAAAGCGCGGUGGCGAAUCUUGUUAUUUGAUGUCUAGCUUAUCCAUAGCUUGAUGAUCAUGAAUUUACCGUUACACCUAUCAUCCAUAGGCAGACAGUUAGAGGGACAAUUAGAGGGAAAAGACUCUAUAAUCCUUGGAAGAUUUGUUAAGAGUAUGUGUUUUAGAAUAAGGAGGUAGUUGGGAUAGUUAUUUAUCAUUGAUUGAGUUUACCUAUAAUAAAAGUUUCCAUUAUAGGAUUGGAAUGUCGCAUUUUGAAGCAUUAUAUGGUAGGAGGUGGUGGACACCCUUGUGAUGGUAUGAAUUCGGUGAGAGCAUUGUGUUAGGACCCAAAGUAGUUCAACACACUAUCGAGAAGGUUAAGAUGAUUUAGGAAAAGAUGAGGAUGUGGCAAAGCCAAUAGAAAAUUUAUCAUAUUAAGCAAAGAAAAUCCUUUGAAUUUCAAGAAGGAGAUCAUGUAUUCUUGAGAGUCACUUCAAUGACUGGGGUUAGUCGGGAAUUCAAGUCAUGAAAGCUUAAUCCUUGUUUUAUGGGUCCUUAUCAGAUUCUUAAAAGAGUCAGCGAAGUUGCCUACCAAGUUGCAUUCCUCUGUCUCUUUCGAAUUUCCAUAAUGUCUUUCAUAUCCCGUCGCAUCUGAUCCAAUCUGAUGAUAUGCAAAUAAGAGAGAGCUUAACUUAUGAAAUGUCGCCCUUGCGAAUUGAAGGUUGAAAGGUAAAACACUUGAGAGGAAAAGAGAUUCCUUUGGUUAAGCCGUAUGGGGAGGAACAAAUGAUGGUAGUGUGAUGUGGGAACUAGAGAGCCAAAUGAAUGAGUCUUAUAUAAACUUGUCUGCUUCAGGUAAAUUUUCCAGUAUGAAAAUUAAAUAUGUGGGGGAGAGUUGUAACACCCUAAAAUUUUAUUCGAAUUUUAUUUUAUUAACAAAUCGAUUUUGUGUGUGUUAUGAUUUUUUUAUUAGCAUUAUUAUUUUGUUAUUAUCAAAGAAAAGAAUUAUGGGAAUUAUCUAGAAAGACUAAAAAUAAAUAGAGUCAGUGGAAGAGGGGUUGGAAAAGUAAAAAUUAGUGGGAGAAGUCAAAGAAAUAAAAUCAUAAUUUUUAAGGAGUUUAAUUUCAGAAUUUUAAUUAUAAAUUAAAAAGGGAGAAUUAGGGAGAAAAACAUAGUACGCGUUCUUUUGGAAGAAAAAGGAGAAAAAUCCCUAGCACAAAAAAGUUCUCUUCUUCUUCUCUAGCACUCCAAAAGAGAGUCUAAUUUCUGAAUAGGAAAAAAAUAAAUAUUAUGCAAGUGAGUAAUUAUAUUAUUGUUAGGAGCUUCGCAAUGAAUUAUGGACUAACAAAGUAAUGGGGAGAUUGUUCUAUGAAUUGGUAUUUUGGCAUUUAUGGUAGUGGGGUUUCCAUUGAACCCCAAAUUGUAUGAGUUUCUAUGUGAAUUUUCCCUAUGAGAUGAUUAUCCAUAAACUUUAUGUUAUGAAUCUCUUUCAUCAUCAUCUAAUCUUCUAGGAUCAUUGCAUGACAGAAUUUUGGGUUGAGUCUUGCAUGAUUGAUUCUAUGAAUUUUCAUUAUUGCCAUGAAUGUGUGUGAAUUUCUGCUUGCUUAUGAUGUUUGAAGUGUUGCUAAUCUUUAACAUAUGGUAUUACAUGAUUAGUAUGUGUUUACCAUGUGUUUGAAGUGAGAAAAACAGGAGAAAUAAGUGAAAAUCAGAAUUCUGGGUGAUUUAAUUCGAAUUAGGGGGCUAUCGUUCAAGUAAUAUGCUAAGAUCAGCGCAGGAUUUCAAUUAUAAUUGGUUUGAUUUGAGUCCAGAGACCUAUGAUUCGAAUCAUAGGGUAAGACUAUGCGAAAAAUUUAGUUAUGUUUGUCAUGAUUCGAAUCAUGAGUUAUGUGACUCGAAUCAUGAAGGCAAAUUAUAUAUAGAAUCAUGUUUUAGUUAUAUCUUGAGUUUAGAAAUUCAGAUUGAGGUGCGGUUAGAUGCGUUAGAAAGCUAAUGCAAAGAACUAUAUUUAUGGAAAAGGAUUCAUGAUGUUUAUAUGUAUGAAUCAUCCUGUGAAUAAUGAAUAUUUAUGCAAAGUCAUGUAUGUUUUAGGACACAAGUCCAAUAUUUUUAUGAAAUGUUUUUAUGAACUAAGUUGUGAGUGAUGGAUUAAUUAUGAGAAUAUACUUAGAACAUGAGAUCAACAUUUGUAAAAUUAAUUGUGAAGCCCUAAUAUAAAGAUUAUGUUGAAGGUUCGACAAGAAUCAAUGUUGAUUAUGUUGAAGGUUCGAUAAGAACCAAUGUUUGAUUAUAUUGAAGGACCGAUAAAAACCAAUGUUGGAUUAUGUUAGAGGUUCAACAAGAACCAGUGUUACAUUAUGUGAAGGUUCGAUAAAAAUCAGUGUGAUAAAUAUGGUUUGGAGGUUUGGAUGAAAUUCAGGUUUAAUUGUUCAUCAUGCAUAAUAUAUAUUAGAGUAGGUGUCGUCUAGCAAGAGUGUGUAGUACGACGUAGCUCGCAUGUGAUCCUAGGCAUUACAUGUUUAUGGACGUCUAGGAGAGUGUUAUAGUAUGGGCAUAACUCGUAUGUAAUCCUAGAAGUAGAGUUUAACAAAGAGUGUUGUAGUGGAUACAUAACUCACAUGGAUUUUGUAGCAGUAAAUUCAAGACCAUCAAGCUAUGGAUAAGCUUAACGUCAAUAAAACCAGAGUCGCCACCGCACUUUAAUUGUUUCCAAAGGAAAAGGGAAAAGCACGAACAAAACCCAAAGAUAAGAAGUUUUCAAAUCAAAACUAAUAAAACGUCAGAGAUCACGGGUAAGGGGGUUGGUUACACAGAGGGAAGGUGUUAGCACCCAAAGUAUCCUAGGUACUUCUAGGGAGCCUUUUUUUAUGUGUGCAUAUGUGUUUGGUAUAAAAGAUGUUUGGAAAACUAGAAUGUGAGGAUGAGUAAAGAAUUCAUUGAUUAUAUUUUUUGUGUUUGACAAGACCUUCGGUCUUGUGCCUACGUACUAACAUAAAAAUGAGGGAUAAAAACCUUGUAGUUCGUGGUAAAAAUUUAAAAGAAGUUGGUGAAUUACUUUUAAUAAAAGUUUAAUAAGAAAAGGCACAAAGGGCCAAAAAUUUGAAUGAAGUUGUUAGCUAUUUUUGUCUUUCUGAAAUGUUAAGUCAAUAUGAUUAAGUUUAUUUACAAAUUUGAUUUAAGAAAAGAAUUUGAUAAUUCAUUAGCAUAAGGUCAAAGUUUCUAAUCAUUAAAACAUGUCUAAGUUUUAAAUCACAAGAAAAGUAAGUAUUUGAAAAGGGGAAGAGAUUUUGAAAUUUAAGAAGUGGGAGGAGAUGAAGAGGCUAUCAUAAGCACAAAUUUAAAAGUUAAGAGUUGAAAAGAUCUAACCAAUGGGAUGCAAUCCAACAGACAAGAAUGUCAUAUAGAACCCCAUUUUCCCUUGGACUUUGAAUCAAGCAAUAAUCAAUAAGCAAUUAACACUAUCCUAACAUCAUGGAGAUCAAGGCAUCAAAUAAAGAUAGCCACAUCCAAGCAAGAAAUUCUCAUAGCUAGCAGUCUUCUUUGUCUUCCCAUGUAUCAGAUGAAAUAUUCCUUGAUCAACUCAGAGCAAAGCAUCAGACACAAGAUUAAAAUAACAAUUAAGCACAAAGGAAAAGUGGCAGAUAAAUUCAAACAAAUCCCAAGGCUUGCAUCAGAUGAAGGCUUAGCUCACAAUACUUCAGUCUCAUAAUGUUGGCAUUGGUCAAGUCCUUUUGCAUAGGGAAUGUUGCCUAAAUCCAAGUCCAAGAGUGCAUAUCAAGAUCAAUAGUCCACAAGAUGUUUUUUAGGGUUUUUGUUGUUAUUAGGUGUUUUAAGGUCCUAAGACCACAAACAAAACAAAAAUACACAAACAAAAUAUACAAUCACAAGAUAUGGCUCAAAUGAGCAAAGUGAAAAUGACAUAAACAUAAACAAGUUAAAUGAAAUGUAAACGGAAAUAAAUGAUAAAUGACUGAAAUUUAAAUUGCAUAAAGUAAAUGACUUAAAAGUAAAGCAAAUAUUAACAAGAAUUAGUCAAAUGUUAGUCCAAAGCCAGUCAAGUGUUAGUGGUGAUUUUUAAUUCUUUAAGUCAUUCUUUGGAGAACACUCAACCAUUCAUUCAUAAGUAUGAAUCCUUAAACCAAUACAUCUUCCCUGAGAAGGGAUCCAACUUGGAUAAUUCAACAAGUAUGCCACUAGCUCCCAUGAAAGGAAAAUGAUGUCACAUUACCAUGCAUAAAGGAAAUGAAUGUUAACCAUAAAUCUUACCAAAUGGAACCUUGUGAAGAACAUGUGCGCAAGUCCCUCAAUUCUUGGCUAAAUGAGAUGAUCCUGGACUUUAUGGAAAUCUGAGAUUAAGGGGAACACCUUUCAUGUUGAGCACUUUUCCAUUUGAAGCUUGGAUCAUGAUGAAUUUUAAGGUGGAAGUUUGGAAAAUCAAACAUAAAUGAAAUUUUUCUAAGUACCAAGUCAAAUGUUCACUUCUUCCACCUUGAAUAACUUUUAUUAUGGGCUUCAAAGUUGUAUCUCUUUCAAACUUAUUCAAUUUGGUCACAAAUUUGAUCUCAUUUGGAAUUGGCAUGAAGGAGUUAUACAUUUUAGAAGUUGAGGAAAAUCUCUUGUUUAAUGGUAAUGGCCCAAAGUGACCUAUAAUGUUUCCUCUUGGAACAUGCAUUUUCAAGUUGAAUUUGAACUUUUUAAAAGAAUAAAAGUUGGAGAGGACAUAUUGAAAUUUAUCAUGAAACUUGGAUGGCCUUCAUCUAAUAAAAAUUGAGCAAGUAUUGGUCCUUGGAAGUUGACCUCCUAACUAGGGUUUAGACAAAAUGACCUAUAAUCUUUCAUCAUAUAAAAUGACUUUCCAAGCAAAACUAGAUAUUGAAUUAAACAUGAAAGUUGUUUGGGAUGUCAUAAAUUGUAAAAGAUAGGGUCUAGUGAACCCCAGUUUUGACCAGUUGACUUUCUCUAGUCAACCACCAUGAACCAACUUGCAAACUUGAAGUUCUCUUGAUCUCUUGGAAUCAUGGAGGAUAAUAUAUGUAUAAUAUGAUUUAAUGUGAAGUAUACUUUGAAAUAUUUGAUCAAAUGUUGAAGAAACUUGCUGAGGAAGUCACACAAGAUACCCAGAUGAAUUAAAGCUUCCAAGGCAAACAAGCUUCAAACUCGUGAUGAAUUCUUGAUUAAAAUGAUAAAUGGAGAACAUGGGGACCCAUAUAUGAUGUCUAGAGUCAAUGUGAACCAUCACUUGAUUUAUCUCCUUGCAUUGAGAGUCUCAAAUCCUAGAUAUGAGCUUGAUGAGGCCUUGGUGGAUGCACACACUACCUACAAAAGAAGUAAAACUAUACAUAGACAUAUUUUUGGUAUCUUGGUUAGUAAACAAAGAAAAAUAAAGUAUGAUACAACCAAAUGUGCUUGGUGACCUCUCCCAAUGCAAACCCAAUGAAUGAGGGGUAAGGAGGAUGCCAGGGUGUGAUCCCAAAUCCAAUGCAUAUGAUUAGGGAUCUUAGGGUCAAAAUUAGGGUCUUACAGCUGCCCUUAUUUAAGGACAUUCUAGCCGAGAAUGUGAAGGUUAAAAUCUUUGUAUCGACUUAGUAGAAUGGACUUAAAUAACAAUAUAUAGAAACAAAUUUUGGUCCCUAAGAGACCUCAUGAUGCAUAUGAUAUGAAUGUUAAAAUAACCCUUGUGGGUAAUAUAUUGCCACAAAGAAAAAGAAUCCGAAGAGACUGAAAGUCCACAGGAGUAUACUGCAUUCCGUAAGGAACACUCACUGGGGAGACAUAGACUCUGGGGGGAUAAAAGCUAUGCGUAGGCCAGGCUAUGACUUGAGAACUGCUGGAGAUACAAAGGGAUUUCCAUGAAAAUAAAUCAAUGGAAGGACUCGGCUUGGGGAACCAGGAAAAUCUGCAGGGGAAACGGGUAGAUCAGGACAAAGUUGAAAUACUCGAAUCAAACAGGAAAAGGCGAUUCCACUAAGGAAAUACGCAUUCAAACUCAACUAGGGAAGAAUGAACUUCAACAUAGGAGUACCAGAGAUAUAUUAUCUAUUACCGAUUACUGGGUAGGAAGAUAAUAUACUCUAACUGAGGGACAUCCGUUACCGAUUAAGGUAAACAUAUCAAGGAUGACUCGCUGAGGAAAAAAAAGUGUAUUCAUUACCGGUUAUUGGGUAAGAAUAACCUACUUGGAAAAAGAUCAAAUAGGAUUUACAAUUGCCAGUUACCAGGCAGAAGACCAAAGAGAGAGUAUAUGUCACUAGUUAAAGUGAACAUAUCGAGGAUAAACUCAAAGGAAGAAUAUUCGUCAUCGAUUAGGAUGAACAUAUCAAGGAUAGACCACCAUGGGAAAGAUGAAGAAUAUCUGUUACCGGUUAGGGUAAACAUAUCAAGGAUGAAUUGUCGGGGAGAAAUAGGAAUUAUAUCUAUCGGUUACUAGAUAGAAUACCAAAGAGAGAAUAUUCGUCACCGGUUAGGAUGAACAUAUCAAGGAUAAACUCAGCAGGGGGAAGUAGGAAUUACAACUACCGGUUACUGGGUAGAAUACUGAAGAGGGGAGAAAAUCCUUCACUGGUUAAAGUGAACAUAUCAAAGAUAGACUCUCUAGGGAAUGAAAUAGGGAUUACAACUACCUUUUUACUGGGUAGAAAACCAAAGAAGGAAGAAUAUCCGUCAUCAGUUAGGAUGAACAUAUCAAGGAUAAACCACCUGGGGAAACAUGGGAACGAAUCCGCCGGGGAAAACAAAGGAAGUAGAUUACAUUUUACCGGGUAUUGGGCAAAAUGUGCUGAACAAUCGAGAAGGAUAUUACCGGUUAUUGGGUAAUAAACUCUUAGGGGACCAAAAUAUCUAUCUAGGUAAUAACUAGAAAGAAACGGCCAAUCAAAGACUCAACCCAAUGAGGAUAUAACUCAAGGAGACUAGUUCCAUCCAGAUAAUUACCUGGGGAGGAAACUGAAAUACUAAUCAUCCAUGAGGAAAUAACUCAGUGGGGAAUGAGAAAGGUUAAACUCUUUCUGCUUAAGGGGAUGACACUCUAAAAUUGAAGGAGGACAGACACAUCAAAUCUGCAUGGGGAGAUAAAAUCACCAAGGCAGGAGAUCAGAAGAAAAAUCAAUGCGAUAAAAUGCUCAAUAAAAUAUCUGAUGUUAUAUGAAUAUACAUGUAUGUGAUUAUGAUUAUGCUGACAAAAUAGCAUAAAUGAUACAAAUAACGAAGAUUUGAAUUAUCACUACAAUACUCGGCUAAUCUCAACAGGAUGAAAACACCAAAUGGAGAAGAUGCUAAGGAUGAAAAUAAAUCAUUUAACUUUGAAUAAAUCAACUCUGGUUGGGGAAAGGCAUGGAGAACAUGCUUCCAAUUUGCUACAGAAAACUCUGUGGGGAGAAGAGAAUAUUAUUGAGGGAAGAUCAACCAAUCAUACCGAGGGUCAAAAAUAUAAACACUGCGGGGAAUUUUAGGUCAACAUCAUAUCAAAUGGGAGACAACCUUGUAGGGGACUAAAAUACACUGCUCAGAAUCCAACACUGCCGGGAAUAAAGGAUCUUCAUAUCACCAGAUGAACUCCGCCAAGGAAUACAAGACAUAAAAAUCUGCAUGAGGAGUUAGGCAAGUUGUCGGGGACGCUAUGACCAAGACCGUCAUAUUCCUCAAUAAUCAUUGAAUUCUUCUCGAAAAUUGUGAAAUAAACCAAUUCCAAGGAAAAGAUAAACGGGUCUAAUUCACACAAAUGAGAAACUGUCGAAGUUAUGCCACACAAUUAUGCUAGUGGGAAAUCAAAUAAGGGUUCCAGAUCUCCAGAGUCUAAUCAAAGAUCACAAAUAGGGGGAUGCAAACAUGAACACCUCAACUGGGGAAUAUGGAUUUGCAAAUGGAAAUGAUCGUCAACUCAACUACUGGGGAUGAUGAAAUAUUCAGGGAGAAACGCAUCAACCAAGCCGGGGAGAAAUGACGAAUUGUUGGCGAAAAAGGUAUUUAUUAAACCAACUACUUAAGGAACACCAAUAAUGCUCCACACUUCAAGACUUACCUGUUCUCAGAUUGCUGUUGACAUUCCUUACUGAAAUCGAUUAGUCUUAUAGUGAUUGUUUUCAUUAUUUAAGAAAAAAAUUAUUAUUAAUUUAUUUUAAAACUAUCAUCAUAAAAAUUCAAUUUUAUUUAGCAGAAGUAAAUAAGAAUAGAAACAAUUGGAUAAAAGCUCAAUUUUAUUUAAUAGAAUGGUAGUCUGUAAGUGAUGAGACUCCAUAGAUAUUUACAAAGUUAAAAAUGGUAAUUUACAUGGAAAAGGGCUACAUUGAAUACAAUGAUAACUACUUUCCCUACUAACUUCAAUAUCCAUUGUGCUUGUCCUUGGUUGAGAAUGAUAAAUCAGAAACAAAUGACUUGCUCAAAACUGCCUCCCAGGAUUAGGAUCAACCGAAUGCAGUUACUUGCCAUAAUCCCUAACUUUUACCUAGAUUGCCCCAAGGUGGGAUGUUCAAUCUACCGGGAUAAAUUUUCUAUUUUAUGUCUCUAAUUUUUUCCUGGAUCUCCCUUUCAGGUUUCCAAUCCACCGAGACGCUCAUUUUUUACCUAACUCGCCCUUUCGGGUUUUCAACUUAGCGAGCGAUACUUUUUUUCUUUUUUAGGCGAAGUAUUUCUUGACUACAUCGGAGUUCACAAGGAGAGUGAACUCUUCACCAUCCAUAGUUGUAAGAAUCAAAGCACCACCUGAAAAGGCUCUUUUAACAACAUAUGGACCUUCAUAAUUAGGAGUCCAUUUGCCCCUAGCAUCAGGUUUGAAAGAUAAAAUCUUUUUGAGCACGGGGUCACCUUCUCUAAACACACGAGUCUUGACCUUUUUAGCAAAUGCUUUCUUCAUUCUUUGCUGAUACAAUUGACCAUGACACAUGGCAGUCAAUCUCUUCUCUUCAAUCAAAUUCAACUGAUCAUAUCUGGUUUGGCACCAUUCAGCUUCAGUCAACUUGGCUUCCAUUAGCACACCCAGUUACGGGAUCUCAACCUCUACUAGGAGCACAACUUCCAUGCCAUAAACAAGAUAGAAAGGGUUUGCCCCUGUUGAAGUGCGGAUGGAUGUACGGUACCCAUGUAAAGCAAACAGGAGCAUCUCAUGUCAAUCUUUAUACAUCACAACCAUCUUCUGGAUGAUCUUCUUGAUGUUCUUAUUCGCAACUUCAACAACCCCAUUCAUAUUGGGUCUGUAGGCAGAAGAGUUAUGAUGUGCAAUCUUGAAGUCUUUGCAAAGAGAUUCCGCCAUAUUGUUGUUCAAGUUCGAUCCAUUAUCAGUAAUGAUCUUACUUGGCACACCAUAACGACAUAUAAUCUGAUUCUUGAUAAACCUUACAACAACUUGCUUGAUUACAUUUGCGUAUGAUGCCGCUUCAACCCACUUUGGGAAGUAGUCAAUAGCCACCAUAAUGAAACGAUGUUUGUUGGAAGAUUUGGGCUCAAUCAUACUAAUCAUAUCAAUUCCCCACAUGGAGAAUGGCCAUGGAGAGGAAAUGAAAUUGAACAGUGUCGAAGGAACAUGAAUCUUAUCUGCAUAGAUUUGACACUUGUGGCAUUUCUUCACAAACUUGCAACAGUCAGAUUCCAUUGUCAGCCAAUAGUAACCUGCUCUCAACAUUUUCUUUGACAUAGCAUGUCCAUUGGAAUGAGUACCAAAGGAAACUUCAUGGACUUCUAUAAUCAAUAAGUCUGCUUCGUGUCUAUCCACGUAUCUGAGCAAAACUAUAUCAAAGUUUCUUUUAUAAAGCACAUCACCAUUGAGGUAGAAGUUUCCAGCUAAUCUUCUUAAAGUCUUCUUAUCUUUCAAAGAUGCCUCAGACGUGUAAAUCUGACUUUGGAGGAAACAUUUGAUAUCAAAAUACCAUGGCUUUUCAUCUUUGGAUUCUUCAAUAGCAAAUACAUGAGAUCGCCUAUCAAGAAGCAUCAUAGUUAAAUUGGGAACUUCAUUCCAAAAUUUCACCAUAAUCAUUGAAGCCAACGUUGCAAGAGCAUCUGCCAUCCGGUUCUCAUCUCAAGGGAUAUGAUGAAACUCAACCUUUGGAAAGAAAGUUGAAAUCCUCCUCGCAUAGUCUCUAUAUGGUAUCAAAUCGGGUUGAUUCGUCUCCCAUUCACCUUUGAUCUGAUUCACAAUCAAAGCUGAAUCUCUAUAGACGUCAAGAUAUUUUAUUUUGAGAUCAAUGGCCUCUUCAAGCCCCAUAAUGCAAGCUUCAUACUCCGCCAUAUUGUUUGUACAUUUGAAAGUUAAUCUAGCUGUAAAUGGGAAAUAAUUGCCUUGAGGAGUAAUAAUCACUGCCCCAAUGCCAUUACCAUAUAAAUUAACAGCUCCAUCAAAUACCAUGUCCCAACGAGAACCAGGUUUUAGCCCUUCUUCAAGCAAAGGUUCAUCAUAAUCUUUCAUCUUUAAGUAUAAAAUCUCUUCGUCGGGAAAAUCAUAUUGUACUGACUGAUAAUCUUCAAUCGGUUGGUGAGCCAAAUGGUCAGCCAAGACACUACCUUUGAUUGCUAUUUGAGAUUGGUAUUCAAUAUCAUACUCAGAUAACAACAUCUGUCAACGGGCGAUCCUCCCAGUUAAAGCAGGCUUCUAAAAAAUAUACUUGAUUGGAUCCAUUUUGGAUAUCAACCAAGUGGUAUGAUUCAACAUAUAUUGGUGCAGACGCUUAGCAGUCCAAGCCAAUGUGCAACAUGUCUUUUCGAGCAUAGAAUACCGAGUCUCACAGUCGGUGAAUUUCUUACUUAGGUAGUAAAUUGCAUACUCUUUCUUUCCAGAUUCAUCUUGCUGACCAAGAACACAACUCAUACUCUCUUCAAGCACAAUCAAAUACAUGAUCAAGGGUCUUCCUUCAAUAGGCGGAGACGGAAUCAGAGGCUCGAGAAGAUAUUUUUUGAUACUAUCAAAAGAUUUCUGACAAUCUUCGGUCUAAUCACAAGACUGAUCUUUCCGAGGAAGCUUGAAUAUAGGCGCACAUGUGGCAAUCAUAUGUGAUAUAAAUCUUGAGAUAUAAUUUAAGCAGCCGAGAAAACCUAUGACUUGUUUCUCAGUUUUGGGCGAGGCAUUUCUUGUAUUGCUUUGACCUUGGCAGGAUCAACUUCAAUACCCUUCUCACUGACAAUAAAGCCCAUCAACUUACUAGAACGAACACCUAAAGUACACUUAUUGGGAUUCAAGCGGAGUUUAUAUUUCCUCAAAUGCUGGAAUAGCUUCAACAAAUGCUCAACAUGUUCUUCUUCAUCACUCAAUUUAGAAAUCAUAUCAUCAACAUAGACUUCAAUCUCUUUAUGCAUCAUAUCAUGAAAAAGAGUGGUCAUAGCUCUCUGGUAUGUUGCAUCAGCAUUCUUUAAACCGAAAGGCAUCACUCUAUAAAAUAAUUUUCCCCAGAGAGUAAUGAAUAUGGUCUUCUCCAUAUCUUCAGGUGCCAUCUUGAUUUGAUUAUGACCGAAAAAUUCGUCCAUAAACGAAAAGACUUUGAAUUUAGUUGUAUUGUCUACCAACAUAUAAAUGUGUGGCAGGGGAAAUCAUCUUUCAGACUUGCUUUAUUCAAAUCUCUAUAAUCAACACACAUGAAAACUUUUCCAUCUUUCUUAUGAAUAGGCACACAAUUGGCCACCCACUGCGGAUACUCGGAGGUAACAAGAAAACUGACAUCAAUUUGCUUCUGCACUUCCUCUUUGAUCUUUACUGCCAUAUCAGGAUGAGUUCUUCUCAACUUCUGCUUGACCGGCGGGCAUUCUGGCUUCAACGGCAAUCUACAUUCCACAAUCUCAAAAUCUAAACCAGGCAUGUCUUGAUAGGACCAAGCAAACACAUCAAAAUAAUCUCGAAGAAGACCAAUCAACUCCUUCUUAGCUUCUGGACACAUUUGAGACCCAAUCUUGACUUCCAUCACAUCAUCCUCGGAACCCAAGUUGAUUAAUUCAAUCUGCUCUUCAAACGGCUAAAUGUCUUUUUCCUCAUGCUCAAGCAAACAGGAUAAUUCAUCAGAUACUUCUUCAUUAUAAAUCUCUUCCUCAGCUUCAAACACAGGGAAAUCAAAGUUUGGAGAGGGAGUAGUGUAAGACCCUAAUUUUGACCCUAAGAUCCCUCAUGGCAUCAUAUCAUUUGCUCAGUGCAUUGCCUCAAGGAUCAUAGCAUGUUUAGCUCCUUAACCCUAGGGUUGGGACUUGUGUGAGUGGUUUGAGACCACCAAGCAUGCUUGUAUUGUAUAUUAUUACUUUUCUUAUUUUGAUUACUAACCAUAAGCACAAAAGUAUGUCACUAACUCUUUUUGUUUUGAAGCUCAAGUGAUCAUGUGCUCCAAUGCUCCUAGGAGGCUCCUAAGCUCAAUGAAGUGGCUAGAUGAAGAUGAGAAUAAGCAUGACAAUGGUCCACAAGCUCUAUCAUCAUAUAUGUCUCCCAAGUAUCUCUAUUUGCCAAUUUGAUCAAGAUAACCCAAAGGGCUUGAGGAUUGUUUCCCAAAGAAACUCUAAUUCAAACUGUGCUUUGACUGUGCCUUGCUUAUGAAGCCUUCCUCACAUGGUGGAUUGUUGGUUUAGGUUGAGUUUUCUCCCUUUGAUAACAAAAGACCUUAAGGCUUUUGGUCAAUCAAUUCACCAAUCUUUUGAGAUUUUUACCCCGAACUACGAGGUUUUGAUCCUACCUUUGUGAUGGUACGUAGGCAAUGGGUUCAUCCAUUCAAACAACAAAAAUCUGUAAAUAUAAUCUAUAUUAUUUUCUCAUCCCCUCCAAUCUUUUGCACAUAUUUUCAAAAAUACCAACCUACAACGCAUAUUUGCAAAAAGGAUUCCCUUAGAGUACUAAGGAUGUUUUGGGUGCGUAAAACCUUCCCAUUUCAUAACCAACCCCCUUACCCAGAUCUCUGACAUUUUUAUUAGUUUUUGAUUUGAUAAAACUUCUUACUUGGCUUUUGUUCGCUUUUUUUUAGCCUUUCCUUUGGACAAAUAAAAGUGCGGUGGCGACUCGAAUUGUAUGUUUACUUUUGGUUUAGUCAAUAAACCUAAAGGUAACGAAAACCCCGCUACAGAAAAGUGGCGACUCUGCUGGGGACUCUUUCUCUAGUAGGUUUAGCCUACUUUUUGCUUAUGUGUGUUGUAUAUUGAUGACAUAUUUUUGUGCAAAUUUGGGAUGACUGUAUUGUUUGUAUUGUAUGAAUUGCUUGAUAUAUUAAUUGCUUGUAUGCUUGGUGGUUUCUUGUGAGAUGAGUUCUAUACCCGAACUCGAGUGCACUUAUGAUAGGAGAAUGACAUGGUCUUGUUGACUUGUGUGGAGUUAUUCCUUAGCAAGUUGACUUGCAAGCCCAUUCACAUGGUGGAGGUCUUCUUGGGAUCAAUAAUGUCACACGAGUAGUCGUGGUUAGGCAUUACUCUUUCCAAUAUAAACCUUAGAAGCCAAGGACCUUAGAUACCUAGCCCAUCUUGGCCUAUUUUAGGAAGUAGUGCGAAGGUCGUUUGUCACACGAGUAGUCGUGGUUAGGCAUUACUCUUUCCAAUAUAAACCUUAGAAGCCAAGGACCUUAGAUACCUAGCCCAUCUUGGCCUAUUUUAGGAAGUAGUGCGAAGGUCGUUCAAGUGUAAGACUUGAGGCGAUUGUUACGCGAUACUACACUCAUAAGAGUCCCUCUUGAGAAUAUUUUUGGAGAACGAGUAGUCGUUUUUUCCGAUAAUAUCCGAAAGAUGAGAUGAUAACUAUGGGGACCUUUUUAGAACAUGAUUGUCAGGUUUAACCAUAGUACACUCCCAUUUUGGUGGGUCUUAACCAAGACUUCAUGCUCGUGACUUACAACAAACCCGUGAUUCGCGGUUGAUCCGUUCUCAUACAUUCUCAAUAUCAAUGGAACUUGGGUGUUGAUAAGGUGUAAACCAUAAUCCACCAAAAUGGAUGAUUGAUAUUGACAAUGACUUGAGUUAUCCCGUGACCUUUGUGUGGUGUGACUUGCUUGAUCCUUGAGUGUGAUUGUUGCAUCCAUGCGUUCAUGCAUUCAUUUGCAUCCAUAUCAGCAACAAUAAAGAAUUUUCAAGGAACUUAAGAGGUUUAUUUGCAAAUUUUUAGACAUGGAUAAGCAAAGAAGGAAUACGAAGAAGUACAGUUUCAGACAACCCGACUUGAAAGAGUUAAGGAGUUUGACAUCUUAUGUAUUAGAUCCCUUGGAGUUCAAAGCUUUAUUUGCAAAUUUUUAGACAUGGAUAAGCAAAGAAGGAAUACGAAGAAGUACAGUUUCAGACAACCCGACUUGAAAGAGUUAAGGAGUUUGACAUCUUAUGUAUUAGAUCCCUUGGAGUUCAAAGCUCUCCAUAGGAAGCUUCUGUCUAUUCUUUCUACCAAGGUGGAUGAAGGUUUGAUGAGUAUGUUGGUACAGUUCUAUGAUCCUUUGUAUCGGUGCUUCACUUUUCCGGAUUUCCAGCUUUUGCCUACAGUUGAGGAGUAUGCCUAUCAUAUGGGUAUACCUAUUCUUGAUCAGUUGCCAUUCAGUGGUUUGGAGAAGGUUUCGUCUUCUCAAGAGAUUGCUGAUAUGAUUCAUAUGGAUGUAUCUGACAUUAGUGCCAAUAUGACUACCAAAGGUGGAAUUCAAGGUCUCCCAUCUGAUUUUCUCAUUGCCAAAGCUACUUUGUUUGGGAAGGCCAUGAGUAAGGAAGCUUUUGAAGCCAUAUUUGUACUACUCAUCUAUGGGCUAGUGUUAUUUCCCAACAUCGAUAAUUUUGCGGAUGUGAACGCUAUUAGGAUUUUCUCUUCUCUUAAUCAUGUUCCGGCUCUGUUGGGUGACACUUAUUUCUCUUUGCAUAUGAGGAAUACAAAGGAUGGUGGUUCCAUUGUGUGCUGUCUGCCUCUGUUGUACAAAUGGUUUAUUUCACACUUGCCUCAGACGCUUUCCUUCAAGGAGAACAAGGGAUGUCUACGGUGGUCCAUGAGACUUAUGUCUCUCACUAAUGAUGAUAUCUCUUGGUAUAGUCGUGUUUAUGAUGGCGUUCAGAUUAUUGACUCUUGUGGUGAGUUCUCCAAUGUGCCUCUUCUUGGUACAUGUGGUGGAAUUAACUAUAAUCCCGCUUUGGCUCGCCGUCAGCUUGGGUUCCCCUUAAGGGAUAAACCUAACAACAUUGUGUUGGAAGAUUUAUUCUUUCAAGAGGGUAAAGAUCCCCAAAACUUGAAGGAUAGAAUGGUCCGCGCCUGGCGCAAAGUUCAUAGGAAAGGGAGGAAUGAGCUUGGUCCGAAGAAUUGCAUUGCUUUGGAACCUUACACCGCUUGGGUGAGGAAGAGAGCUCUUGAGUACCGCAUGCCAUAAGAAUAUCCGAGACCCACCCCUGUGGUUGUGGUUGGGCCUUUAACCCUCCCUAACCAAGGAGUAGAGGAGUUGAGAGAUGAAGACCGGUCGCGAGCAUGGGUUCGUGAGCGUGAGGAAUUUCUUCAGCAACUCAAAGAUAAGGAUGCAGUGAUAGAGUUUCUGGAGCAUCAGGUCAUUGAUGAGCCUGAUGAUGUGGUUACUUCUCUUCUUCCUCACUCAUCUAGGUUUUGGAAGAGGAAGUAUGAUAAGAUCGCUAAGGAGAAGGCCGAUAUGGAAGCAACUUAUGAGAGAGAGGUGAAGAGGCUUCGUGCAGCUUAUCUUUUGAUCUCGAAAGCUUUGGACGAUUGUUUCUAGGGCUCCAUAGGAUGAUUAUUCUCCUUUUCUCUUGUAUUGUAUUUGGUUACCAAAACUGUACUACUUCUUUGGUGUAAAAAGCUUCCAAAUAUUAUUGCUAUGAGUAUUCCAUAUAUAUCUUAAAAGUUGAAUAUUUGCAAAUAGAUCUCUAUAAAGUUCCUCUAAUAAAAACAAACCAUAUGCACAAACAUUGCAUGCAUCAUAUGCAUAAGCAGGUUUUGUUCCAAGCUCUUGAUCAGUGGUCUAACUCUUUGCUCUUCAUUUAUUUUGAAGACAAGUUGACGCACCGGUAUUCCAUAUGCACAAACAUUGCAUGCAUCAUAUGCAUAAGCAGGUUUUGUUCCAAGCUCUUGAUCAGUGGUCUAACUCUUUGCUCUUCAUUUAUUUUGAAGACAAGUUGACGCACCGGUAUAAUACCAGAUCCAAUCAUCCGAGGAUAAUGGAGCAUAUGGAGCAAGAGAACAGGGACUUAAAGGAAGAGAUUGCUAGGCUGACUUCCAUGAUGGAGUCAGUUCUGGCCGCAUAAAGCCAAGCUUCACCAACUUCUGCAACUCCUCCCGCGAGGACGGUCAUUUCUGAGAUAGCUACUUCGACCGUGCCUGCUGUAACAGCCCACUUCGCUCCGACUAUGCCAGCCGGAUUCCCUUGGGGAAUGCCUCCCAAUUUCAUGCCAGAGAGUUUUGCUCCUACUCUCGCUUCCAUGUCCGAAUCUAGCCUGGUCCUGUCUGUGCCACCUCCCAUUGGGCACACCCUUCCCCGUGUUGAAGACACCAUCUAUCAUUCCGAGCCGUCUGAGGGCCCAGACGUAUAUGAGAAGAUGGAUGAAAUGAAAGAUCAAUUCCUUGAGAUGCGCAAGGAGAUGAAGACUUUGAGGGGUAAGGACCUCUUUGAGAAAAGUGCUGCUGAGUUGUGCCUAGUGCCCAACGUGAAGAUCCCUGUUAAAUUCAAAGUGCCUGACUUUGAGAAGUAUAAGGGAAAUACAUGCCCGCUCAGUCAUCUUGUGAUGUAUGCUCGCAAGAUGUCAACACAGACUGACAACGACCAACUGCUGAUCCACUACAUUCAGGAUAGCCUGAUAGGUGCUACGCUCCGGUGGUAUAUGGGGUUGGAGAGUGCAAGCAUCCGCUCUUUUAACGAUCUAGGCGAGGCCUUCGUUAAGCAGUAUAAAUAUAAUGUGGAUAUGGCUCCGAACAGGGACCAAUUGAGGGCGAUGUCCCAGAAGGAUAAGGAGACCUUCAAGGAGUACGCCCAGAGAUGGCGAGAACUGGCAGCUCAGAUAGUGCCACCCCUGGAAGAGAAAGAGAUGACAAAGAUCUUCUUGAAGACUUUGAGCUCUUUCUAUUAUGAAAGAAUGAUUGCCAGUGCUCCCUCAGACUUCACCAAAAUGGUGAAUAUGGGGAUGAGAAUAGAAAAGGGGGUCCGUGAAGGGCGGUUAUCCCGUGAUGACGGUUCCUCAGCAAAGAAGUAUGGAGGCUUUGCUAGGAAGAAAGAGGGAGAGACUCAUGUUGUGUCCUACCAUGUCAAAAGAAGGCCCUCUGUAAGGAGGAAGGAUGUGCGUCCAGCCGUCAACCAACACCAGGUGGCUCAUAUAGCACCUGCUUUCAGAGAAUUUCAUCAACAACAACAACAAUAUCGUCAACAGCAACAGGCUUACCAGCCUCGCAAUAAUACCAACACCAGCACCAACAACUAUGAGAGGAAGAGGGUAACUUUUGACCCAAUUCUGAUGACGUAUGCUGAGCUUUAUCCUUCCUUGAUUGAUAGGUGCCAAGUGUGCACUAUCAAUGAGAGAGGAUGUCGUCAGGUGAGAAAGGACAUCCAAGAGAUGAUAGAUCAAGGGAUGAUUGAGAUACUUCAGAAUCGUAAUGAGGAUGAAGUUGAUGUAAUUACUCUUGUGUUUAAAAUGCUUGAGCCUGUCAUUAUCAAGUAUGAUAGCAGCAAGAAGAAAGUAUCGCCAGCUCUUAUGAUUAAGCCAGCAGGCCAUGUCCCGUAUGUAUCAGACAAAGUUGUUCCUUACCGAUAUAGCGCAGUCAUGCUGGAGGAUGGAAAAGAGGUGUCGUUGCCCUCAACUUUUGUGGUAAGCAUUUCAGACGUCAGUGGUGUGACCCGUAGUGGUCGUGUUUUCUCGGCGCAACCAAAAUCCCAUGAAGAUGUCAUGAAGAGAACUGUUGUUAAUCCUGCCGGUCCCGUGGGGACUUCUUCUCAAAAUAAUUUUGUUCCUAUUGUUAAGGGGGUUGACCCUGUUGCUAUUAAGAAUAAUAAUACUCCUAUCCUGGUUGGCCAGUCUGGCAUCUUGAAAGAGGAUGGUGAUGAGAUGUUGAGGCUCAUCAAAAGGAGUGAAUAUAAUGUUGUUGAUUAACUGCUACAAACUCCAUCAAAGAUAUUUGUCUUAUCUUUGUUGAUGAAUUCCGAGCCACACCGUGAAGCUUUGCAGAGGGUGUUGGACGUGGCAUACGUGGAUCACGAUGUCACCAUCGAGCAGUUUGAUAGUAUUGUUGCAAAUAUAACCGCUUGCAACAAUCUGAGCUUCUGUGAUGCUGAUCUUCCCGAGGAGGGAAAAGACCACAAUUCGUCUUUACACAUAUCUAUGAAAUAUAAGGAUGAUGCCUUGUCCAAUGUGUUGGUGGACACAGGGUCAUCUCUUAAUGUGUUGCCAAAAUCCACUCUUGCUAAGCUUGCAUAUCAGGGGCCUCCCAUGAGGCAGAGUGGGUGGUUGUGAAGGCGUUUAAUGGAUCACGUAAAACUGUGAUCGGCGAAUUAGAACUCUCGAUCAAGAUUGGACCUAGUGACUUCCAGAUCACUUUCCAAGUCAUGGACAUCCAUCUGUCUUAUAGCUGUUUGCUGGGUAGACCCUGGAUUCACGAGGCAGGUGUCGUGACAUCCACCCUACACCAAAAGUUGAAGUUCGUGAAGAACAAGAAGUUGGUGGUGAUAGGGGAAGAGAAGGCUCUCUUGGUCAGUCAUUUAUCUCCCUUCUCCUAUAUCGAUGCUGAGAAUGAGGUUGGGACUCCGUUCCAAGCCUUAUCUAUUGCUGAGCCUUCAAGGAAAGGAUUUUUUUCAUCUGUAUUCUAUAAUGAUGCGAAGUUGGCCAUUGAGCAUGGUGCGGCUACUGGUUUGGGGAAAAUGAUCAAGAUGGAAGAUAACAAGUCCCAAGCUAGCAUAAGGGUAUUCUUCUGGUGUUUCCAAUGAUCAUGGGUUGUUCCAGAGUGGAGGUUUCAUCCAUACCGUUGAAGAUCAGGAAGCUGCUACCAUUGUUGAAGAUGAUGAAGAGGAAGACUUUGGCAAUUUUGUUAUACCCGGAGGAAUCUGCAAUAAUUGGGUCGCUGUUGAUGUUCCAACAGUUAUCCACAAGUCAACGUAAUGUGUUCAUUUUGUUUGAAAACCCUUCUCCUAUGCCAAAAGGAGAAGUAAAGACAUUGUUGGCAUAAUUUGAUUAAUACAAUGAUAUUCAUUCAAUGAUGACAUGUUAAAUGUUUGUUUUUCCAAAAUUAUUCUUCCUUUUUGCUUUUUGCAUGAAAUUGGUGAUCACUAUAAAACCAUAAAAAAAAAGAAUAAAAUCAAUCUUUUCAUCUGCAUAAUGAUUUGCCUUGUUUGAAUUCUGAAAUCUCUUUUAUACUCAAAAUCAUUAUGCAGGUUAAUCAAACCCAUUGAACAUAAUGAUCCAACACUAUAAAAUCAAUCUUUUCAUCUGCAUAAUGAUUUGCCUUGUUUGAAUUCUGAAAUCUCUUUUAUACUCAAAAUCAUUAUGCAGGUUAAUCAAACCCAUUGAACAUAAUGAUCCAACACCAUCUCCCAAGGAUAUGGAGAAGACAACAUUCAUCACACAUUGGGGAACAUUUUGUUAUCAAGUGAUGCCCUUCGGUUUGAAGAACGCCGGAGCCACGUAUCAACGAGCUAUGACUACCUUGUUUCAUGAUAUGAUGCACAAAGAGAUCGAGGUAUAUGUUUAUGAUAUGAUUGCAAAGUCAAAAACGGAAGUUGAACAUGUAGAACACUUGUUGAAGCUUUUCCAGCGUUUGAGGAAGUAUAAACUCCGCCUGAAUCCGAACAAGUGUACAUCUGGAGUCCGUUCCAGCAAGUUAUUGGGCUUUAUUGUCAGCGAAAGAGGUAUUGAAGUUGAUCCUGCCAAGGUCAAAGCAAUAGUAUUAAAGAGUAUUUGUCUGAGCCUCUGAUUCUGUCUCCGCCUGUUGAAGGGAGACCAUUGAUUAUGUACUUGACUGUGCUUGAUGAUUCCUACCCAACACAGGAACCAGUCGUUCUACUUAGUCCUUUCUUAGAAUAUGCAAUAUACUACUUGAGUAAGAAGUUUACUGACUGUGAGUCUCGGUACUCAAUGCUUGAGAAGACAUGUUAUGCUUUGGCUUGGGCUGCUAAGCGCUUACGCCAGUAUAUGCUGAAUCAUACAACUUGGUUGAUAUCCAAAAUGGAUCCAAUCAAGUAUAUCUUUGAGAAGCCUACUUUAAAUGGGAGGAUUUCCUGUUGGCAGAUGUUGUUAUCUGAGUAUGAUAUUGAGUAUCGAGCUCAAAAAGCUAUUAAAGGUAGUAUCUUGGCUGACCGUUUGGCGCAUUAACUAAUUGAAGAUUAUCAGUCUGUGCAGUAUGACUUCCCUGAUAAGGAGAUUCUGUAUUUGAAGAUGAAAGAUUGUGAUGAGCCUACGCUCGAUGAAGGGCCAAAGCCUGGUUCCUGAUGGGGUAUGGUGUUCGAUGGUGCUGUCAAUCAGUAUAGAAAUGGUAUUGGGGCAGUGAUUAUUACUCCUCAAGGUACACAUUUUCCUUUUACAGCAAGGCUAACUUUCAAAUGCACGAACAAUAUGGAGGAGUAUGAGGCCUGUAUUAUGGGUUUGGAAGAGUGUAUUGAUCUUAGGAUCAAACAUCUUGAUGUUUAUGGUGAUUCGGCCCUUGUUGUUAAUCAGAUUAAGGGUGAAUGGGAGACGAAUCAGCCUUUCUUGAUGUUUAUGGUGAUUCGGCCCUUGUUGUUAAUCAGAUUAAGGGUGAAUGGGAGACGAAUCAGCCUGGCCUCAUCCCAUACAGAGAUUAUGCGAGGAGGAUUUCAACUUUCUUUACUGAGGUUAACUUCCAUCAUAUUCCUCGAGAUGAGAAUCGGAUGGCAGAUUCUCUUGCUACGGUUGCUUCAAUGAUUGUAGUAAAGUAUUGGAAUGAAGUCCCUAAUAUUACUGUGAUGCGCUUGGAUAGACCAGCUCAUGUGUUUGCAGUUGAAGAAGUAAAAGAUGGUAAGCCAUGGUAUUGUGAUAUCAAGUGUUUUCUCCAAAGUCAGACUUACCCAUCUGGGGCAUCUGUUAAAGACAAGAAAACUUUGAGGAGAUUAUCUGGCAGUUUCUACCUUAAUGGUGAUGUGCUUUACAAGAGGAAUUUUGACAUGGUUCUUCUCAGAUGCGUGGAUAGACACGAAGCAGACUUGUUGAUGACUGAAGUCCAUGAAGGUUCAUUUGGUACUCAUUCCAAUGGGCAUGCCAUGGCAAAGAAGAUGUUGAGAGCAGGCUACUAUUGGCUAACAAUGGAGUCUGGCUGCUGCAAAUAUGUGAAUAGAUGCCACAAGUGUCAGAUUUAUGCGGAUAAGAUUCAUAUUCCCCCGACACUUCUGAAUGUUAUUUCCUCACCAUGGCCUUUCUCUAUGUGGGGAAUUGACAUGAUUGGCAUGAUUGAGCCGAAGGCGUCUAACGGUCACCAUUUUAUUCUCGUAGCUAUUGAUUACUUCACCAAGUGGGUUGAAGCGGCAUCAUAUGUGAAUGUGACCAGGCAGGUGGUUGUGAAGUUUAUCAAGAACCAACUCAUAUGCCGAUAUGGUGUGCCAGACAAGAUCAUUACCGAUAAUGGAUCUAACUUGAACAACAAGAUGAUGAAAGAGUUGUGUAGCGAGUUCAAGAUUGCAUAUCAUAAUUCUUCUCCCUAUAGACCCAAGAUGAAUGGGGAUGUUGAAGCUGCUAACAAGAACAUCAAGAAGAUUAUUCAAAAGAUGGUUGUUACGUACAAAGAUUGGCAUGAGAUGCUGCCAUUUGCUUUGCAUGGUUAUCGUACAUCUGUCCGCACUUCAACAGGGGCAACCCCUUUCUCUCUUGUAUAUGGCAUGGAGGUUGUGCUCCCCGUAGAGGUCGAGAUCCCAUCAAUGAGAGUCUUGAUGAAAGUCAAGUUGACUGAGGCUGAAUGGAUUCAGAGUCGUUUUGACCAGUUGAAUUUGAUUGAAGAGAAGAGAUUAACUGUCAUGUGCCAUGGUCAGUUAUAUCAGCAAAGGAUAAAGAAAGAAUUUGAUAAGAAGGUCAAGCCUCGUGCGUUCCGAGAAGGUGACCUUGUGCUCAAGAAAGUCUUGUCUUUCGCACCCGAUUCCAGGGGAAAGUGGACUCCAAACUAUGAAGGUCCAUAUGUUGUUAAGAGAGCCUUUUUAGGCGGUGCUUUGUUACUUACAACUAUGGAUGGGGAGGAUUUCACUCGUCUUGUGAAUUCAGAUGCAGUCAAGAAAUACUUCGCCUAAAAAUAAAAACAGAUUAGCUCGCUAAGUUGAAAACCCGGAAGGGCGGCUUAGGCCAAAAUGAGCGUCUCGGUGGAUUGAAAACCCGAAAGGGAGGUCCAGGAAAAAGUUAGAGACGUGAAAAAUAAUAAAUAUCUCACUAGAUUGAGUACCUCACCCUGGGGCAAUCUAGACAAAAAUUAGGGAGUUGGCAAGUAACUGCAUCCUGACAAGACUUUGCUCUACAACUGUCAUCUGUCAAAGAUUCUCGCUCAGUCGUUGUCAACCGAAGCGUCAAAUACAGUGAAUUCAGAGUUGGUGGAGAAACGGUCAUUAUGUUCAAUGUAGCCCUUUUUCCAUGAAUAUUACCAAUUUCAAAUUUGUAAAGAUCCAUGGAGUCUCGCCAUUUGAGGACUACCAUUCUAUUAAAGAAAUUUGAGCCUUUAUCCAAUUCUUUGCACUCUUACUUGUUUCUGUUUAACAAAUGUUUGCAUGUUUUAAUUGAUAAAUAUCAUUGUUUUAAAUAAAUAAAGUUUUAUAAACUAUUUUAAACAAAAUGAACGUUCACAGUGACUGAAAGGAUAGUCGGAACGUCUUCAGUGCUUUCUCAAGGAUAGUACGAUUUCCAAAAAGGUAAGACAUUUGGUCAUGUUCUGGCAUGUUUAUAUCCUCUUCAUCAACUUUCAUGUUGUUUCCUCAGUAAGAAGUUGUCUAGAGCAGUUGGUGGAGGGUUUGUUUCUCUUUCUAUCCCCGGCAUGUCACGUGUUGACGAAGGAUUCGCUUCCGAUUUUCUCAGCCAAGGCAGUUUCCUUUGAAGGUUGCCUACAGCUUAUCCCCUGCAGGGUUGGUUGACCUGAGUUUGAUAAUUUGUAUCCCCUCCGCAUUUGAAGAUUUCUCCUAAGUAUUGAGAGAUGCUGAGGAAGAUGUGUUAUUUCCUUCCCUAGCGGAGCUAAUUGUUCUUUCUCCCCUUCGCAGAGUUGGUCUCUCCAGCAGUUAGAAAGAUUUGUUUCGAUAGAUGGGUAUCUGUUUGGCGUUGGCUCCCCAGUAGAGUUUUCUUCCACGACAGGUCUUAUUGAUAUUCAACCACCUGUUCCCGAGAAUUGAUGAGAAGUCCCUGGCGGUUGGCAACUAUGACUUUGCCUGUCCCCAACUGUGAUCGGUGUCUUCCAGUAUUUGAUGCAUCCUCACCAGAGCUGAUUUCUCCAGUAGGCUUUGCCUUUCUUGUUGAGAUGUUGUGCCAGAUGUCUAUUCUUGAUUCUUGGACCUGUUUGUGUUUGAUAUGUCUGUUUGUCAGCAUUAAUCAUACACAAAUCAUGCAUAUACAUGCAUAAUCAUAGUAUUCAGAUAUUCAUGUUGCAUUCUUUGCCAUAUAUCUUUGCUUGAUAUCUCCUGCUAUUGGUGAAACGUUCUUCCCCCAAGCAGAUGUUUGUGUCUGAUCUCUCCAUAUAGAGUCAGACCCAUAAGCAGAAAGUGUCUAUCUUUCCCUUUUUAUUCCCCACCGAGUUAUGUCCUCAUGGAUGAUUAUUGUUUCAGUUUCCUCCCCAGUUAUGUAUCGGGAUGGAAUUACUCCCCUGAGUUAUAUCCUCAUUGGGAUGAGUCUUGUGUGAUUGUGUCUUUCUAGUUUGUUCCUAGAACUGACUCCUUUCUUGUUAUCCCCUGCAGUUUCCUGUGGUUUAGUUGAUCAAUUGCUCAAUAACCAGUAAUUGUUCAUCAUUUUCCCCAUCGAACUUUGUGGCCUUCUACCCAGUAACCGGUAGUUGUAAGUCCUGUUUCUGUGGUUUUCUACUCAGUAACCGGUAGAUAUAAUCCCCUCUUUGUUGGUUAUCUUUACCCAGUAACCGGUAUUGAUAUUCCUUCAUUUUGAGUAUACCACCCAGUAACCGGUGAUAUAUCUCCUGGAUGAUUGCUUUUGUCAGGCAAUUUAUCCCUUACGAGUCAUCUUUCACCCAUGUUUGGUAAUGAUUGUUCCUCCUUCUGAUUGGUCAUCAUUUUAUACCCAGUAACCGGUAUCCCGAUGUCCUUUCUUUUCGGUCGAUUUAUCCUUCAUUAACCCAGUAACCGGUUGUGGAUAAUCUUCCAUGCGAGUAUGUUAUCUUUCAUUUUAUACCCAGUAACCGGUAUCCCGAUGUCCUUUCUUUUCGGUCGAUUUAUCCUUCAUUAACCCAGUAACCGGUUGUGGAUAAUCUUCCAUGCGAGUAUGUUAUCUACGUUAUGACGGUAAUAAAUAAUAUGUCUCAUGCGCUCUUCAGUUGAAGUCUUUUUCUUCCUCAGUCGAGUAAGAUUCGUAUUUCCUCGUGGAAUCGAAUGUCCAUCCUGUAAGUCGAAUUUGGCUAUUCAGCCCUCCUUUCGGAUGAUGAGUGUCUUGGAUAUUGUUCCUAAUUCACGUUUGGUUCACCUAUUAUAUGCCCAGUAACCGGUAUCCCUGGUGUUCCUUCCUUCUGCUCCCAAUUAUGACUUUUUGUCCCCUGUGGAGUCAGAUUUUCCUGAGUUGAGAUGUGCCUUUUGGGUCCUCCUCAGAUGUUUCGGAUGAUUGAUAUCUCUCACCCUUAUAUCGGUCUUAGAUAUUCUUUCUCCCUGAGCGUGUUGUUCUCUCACCCAGUAACCGGUGUUUCAAUAAUAUGUCUCUCCUUGAGUUUAUUACCUAGUAACCGGUAAUAUCUCGUUGUUUCUUCCUCAACUGAGUCCUUUGUUGAUAUCCCCGUCUGAGUCCGGAUUCUUCAUCCGAUGUAUCCUUUGUGGAUAAUUUUGCUGUAUUGGCAUUUUCCACAAUACAUGCAUCUUUGCGUCAGCUCGAGUCUUUCCAUCGAUUUAUUUUCGCGGAAUCCCUUCGUGUCUCCCAGCAAGUCUUCAAGUCGUGACCUGCUCACGCAUUUUUACCUUAUUUCCCCCAGAGUCUUUGUCUCCCUAGUGAGUGUGUUACUCCUAUGGAUUUUUUCAGUUUCUCCUGAUUUCUUUUCCUUCAUGACAAUCAUUCACCGUGAAGAUUUUAAUUUGCAUGCAUACAUUUGCAUCAUGAGGUCUCUUAGGGACCAAAAUUCGUCUCUUUGUUAUUAUUUAAGCCCAUUCUACUGCGUCGAGACGAAGAUUUUAACCUUCAUAUCUCUGACUAGAAUGACCUUAAAUAGGGGCAUCUGUAAGACCCUAAUUUUGACCCUAAGAUCCCUCAUGACAUCAUAUCAUUUGCUCAGUGGAUUGCCUUAAGGAUCAUAUCAUGUUUAGCUCCUUAACCCUAGGGUUGGGACUUGUGUGAGUGGUUUGAGACCACCAAGCAUGCUUGUAUUGUAUAUUAUUGCUUUUCUUAUUUUGAUUACUAACCAAAAGCACAAAAAUAUGUCACUAACUCUUUAGUUUUGAAGCUCAAGUGAUCAUGUGCUCCAAUGCUCCUAGAGGCUCCUAAGCUCAAUGAAGUGGCUAGAUGAAGAUGAGAAUAAGCAUGACAAUGGUCACAAAGCUCCUAAUCAUCAUAUAUGUCUCCCAAGUAUCUCUAUUUGCCAAUUUGAUCAAGAUAACCCAAAGGGCUUGAGGGUUGUUCCCAAAGAAACUCUAAUUUAACUGUGCUUUGACUGUGCCUUGCUCAUGAAGCCUUCCUCACAUGGUGGAUUGUUGGUUUAGGUUGAGUUUUCUCCCUUUGAUAACAAAAACCUUAAGGCUUUGGUCAAAUCAAUUCACCAAUCUUUUGAGAUUUUUACCCCGAACUACGAGGUUUUGAUCCUACUUGUGAUGGUACGUAGCAAUGGGUUCAUCCAUUCAAACAACAAAAUAUGUAAAUAUAAUCUAUUUUUCUCAUCCCUCCAAUAUUUGCACAUAUUUUCACAAAUACCAACCUACAACGCAUAUUGCAAAAAGGAUAUCCUUAGAGUACUAAGGAUGUUUUGGUGCGUAAACCUUCCCAUUUUCAUAACCAACCCCCUUACCCAGAUCUCUGACAUUUUUAUUAGUUUUUGAUUUGAUAAAACUUCUUACUUGGCUUUUGUUCGCUUUUUAGCCUUUCCUUUGGACAAAUAAAAGUGUGGUGGCGACUCGAAAUGUAUAUUUACUUUUGGUUUAGUCAAUAAACCUAAAGGUAACGAAAACCCCGCUACAAGUAGGAUCAUUGUAUUCAAUGGGUUUGAGAACCAACUUGCAUAAUGAUUUGAUAUUUUGAUUUUAGAGAAGUGUAGUGCGAUCAAAUAUUAUGCAGAUGGAAGAUUAUUAUUUAUUAUUUAUAUUUUUUGUGAUUACCAUUUUCAGAAAAAGCAAAAAGUGAAAAUAAAACAUCAUAGAUGUGGAUGAAUAAAAUUAUCUUUUAUUGAUGAUAAUAAUAAAAAUGCCCAACAAUGUUCACUUCUCCCUUAGGCAUAGGAGAAGGAUUUUUCUUAAAGAUAAAAAUAAAUUACUUAGAACGAUGAAUGACAACAGGAACAUCAACAGCAACCCAGUUGUUGCAAGUCUGGUCAUGCGUCACAAAGUUGGCGUAAGCUUCGUCUUCAUCACCAUUGUCUUCAAUAAUGGCAGUUGAGUAUUGAUUAUUCCCAUGAAUGAACUCUCCACUGCAGAAAUUUGGUUGCAUAACUUUGACUUUAGUGUUGAACGACCCUGGUUGAAAUCCCAAUCCGGCUCUAUUCUUGUUCUCGACAAUAUCUAUCACACGACCCCACUGAUCAAUGCUGCCAACCUGAAUAGCCUCUUAUGCAUCUUUCAAAGAAGACAUGGGUGCCCCAGUUUUCUUUAUUUCAUCAGCAAUGGACAAGGCUUGGAAAUACGCUUCAACCUCCUCCUCAGCUUCAACAUACGUGAAGGAUGACAAAUGGCUCACCAACAAUGCCUUCUCUCCACAAUAAUGACAAGCUUGUCGUUCUUAACAAAUUUCAGCUUUUGGUUUAGAGCAGACGUCACUGCUCCAGCUUCAUGAAUCCAUGGCCUUCCUAACAAGCAGUUGUAGGCCGGAUGGAUAUCCAUUACUUGGAAAGUAAUUUGGAAAUCACUCAGACCUAUCUUCACUAGAAGGUCCACUUCACCAAUGACAGUUUUACGAGAACCGUCAAACGCUUUGACAACCACGCCACUGUACCUCGUUGGGGCGCCUUGAUAGGAGAGUCUUGACAACGUAGAUUUUGGAAGCACAUUCAAAGAUGACCUUGUAUUAACCAACACAUUAGACAGAUCAUCCUCCUUGCAGUUUAUUGAAAUAUGAAUGCCAAAUUGUGAUUUUUGCCUUCCUCAGAAAGCUCUUCAUCACAAAAACCCAGAUUAUGAUAAGAAGUAAUAUUGGCAACUAUGUGGUCAAACCGAUCCACAGUCACAUCAUGCUCAACAUAAGCCUGUUCCAACACUUUUUGUAGUGCCUCCUUAUGUGCUUCAAAAUUCAUCAGUCGUGACAACACAAAUAUCUUUGAUGGUGUCUAGAGGAGCUACUCUACCACAUUGAAUUUACUUCUUUUAAUUAACUUUAGCACCUCAUCAUCAUUGUUAGUCUUCAACUUUGUGGACUCACCAGACUGACCUGUUGGAGCACUGAUCGAAUUCACUACUGGAAUUUUUGCUUUCUUACUUGUUGACACAUCUUCUAUUAUCUUAGGGAAAACCGGACUGAACACAUGAUCACUACGGGUCACCUUUGCUACAUCGACAAUAUUCACCACUGAAUCUGCGACUGGUAGAGGAACCUCUUGAUCAUCUUCAAUCAUAGUGGCGUUGUACUGAUACGGCGUAACUUUAUCGGAUGAGUAGGGGACAGGGCAUGUUAACUGUAUAACCAACGACGAUACCGAUCUAUUAACAUUGUUGUUGCUGCUACUAUCAAAUUGAAUAAUUACCCGCUCAGGGGUCUUGAAUACAUGCACAAUUACAUUCACAUCAUCUAUAUCCCUUGACUGUUGAAUCUGGAUUACAUUCUCAUCCACCAACUUCUGGAUAUCCCUUUUGACAAUCAUACACCCACGGGGGUUCACGCUACAUAUUACACAACCAUCAUGGUUAUGUUCACAGUCACUGAUCAAACACAAGGUUCUAUGCAUUUCCAUCAACGGCCUACGGAUACUUCGUACAUCAAAUACUCGGAAAUUCCCUGGACAUCCGUCCACCAGGUUGACAAAAGCAUUACCAUGAGUAGGCAAUGGAUUAGCUUUCACAUUUUGCGCUCUGUCCUCAAAGGACACCAUACCACUCUUCACAAGCUUUUGAACUUCAUGUUUCAAUGGAUAGCAGUUCUCUAUGUCAUGGCCAGGGGCUCCCUGGUGAAAGGCACAUUGUAAAUCAGGUUUAAACCACCAUGGAAGUGGCUCAGGAAUUUGCGGAGGAUUUCUUGGUUGAAUGAGGUUCUUGAGAAUCAAUGAUGGGUACAAUUCUGCAUAUGUCAUAGGAAUAGGGUCAAAAGAGACCUUUUUCCUCUCAAAGCUUUGUUGAUGAUGAUUAUUGUUGUUGUUGUAGUUGAUUUUUGUUACGGUUGUUGUUGUUGAGUUGGAACUGAUUGAUUAGAAUUAUUAGAAAAACUGGAAUUAUUGAAGAAACUUGAUGUUGAUGUUGACGAGGUUGAGAACUUUUUCUGACAUGAGGCCUCAUCUGCCUCCCUACUGAUACUGAAUUAGUCUUUCCUUCCUUCCUCUUGGAGAAACUCCCACCGUACUUCUUGUUGGAUGAUGCUUCUUCCUUAGACAGACGUCCUUCACGGACUCCUUCCUCUAGCCUUAUCCCCAUAUUUUCCAUUUUGGUAAAGUCAUUGGGGGCACUCGCGAUCAUACGUUCAUAAUAAAACAAACUAAGCGUCUUCAAGAAGAUCUUCGUUAUUUUCUUCUCCUCAAGAGGUGGACUUAUCUGGGCAGCAAGCUCUCUCCAUCUCUGAGCAUACUCUUUGAAUGUCUUCUUAUCUUUUUGAGACAUCGACCUCAAAUGGUAUCUAUCAGGCGCCAUAUCCAUAUUAUACUUAUACUUAUUAACAAAAGCCUCGCCUAAGUCAUUGAAAGUACGGAUGCUUGCACUGUCCAAACCCAUAUGCCAUCUCAAAGCAGCUCCAGUUAAACUGUCUUGGAAAUAGUGAAUCAGUAACUGAUCAUUAUCAGUCUAAGUAGACAUUUUCCUGGCAUACAUCACUAGAUGUCUUAGUGGGCAAGUGUUCCCUUUAUACUUUUCAAAGUUGGGGACCUUGAACUUCAUCGGGAUCUUAAUAUUAGGGACCAAGUAGAGUUCAGCAACACUCUUCCCAAAUAAGUAUUUCCCUCUCAAAGUCUUCAACUCUUUGCGGAGCUCGAGGAAUUGAUCUUUCAUCUCAUCCAUUUUAUCAUAGACAUCUGGACCCUCAGACGGCUCAGAAUGAUAGAUAGUUUCUUUAACACGAGGCAGAGUGCGAACAACCGGAGGUGGCACUGACAUGACCAAGCUAGAUGUCUGCAUAGAAACAAAUAUGGGCGCAUACCCUUUUGGCACAGAAUUAGGUGGCAUUCCCCAAGGGAAUCCAACAGGCAUGGAUUGACUGGCAGCAGCAAUCGAAACUGUUGAGGUAGCAACCUCAUAAAUGAUAGUUCUUUGAGGAGGAGGAGUUGCAGGAGUUGGUGAAGACUGAUUUUGUGCAACAAUGAUAGAUUCCAUCAGCACCGUUAAUCUUGGUAUCUCGUCCUUCAACUCUCAGUUCUCUUUCUCUAGAUGCUCCAUGAUUCUUGGUUGAUUAGCACGAGUAUUGUAUCGGUGAGUCAGCUUGGUUGAUGCACAAAAGAAGAACUGAUAAGACAUCUAGCGGAAGAAAAACCUAUCGUGCAAAUGAUGCAUGAAAUGCAAUAUUUUUUUAUUGUUUUUAAUUUCAAGGAACAUACGAAGUCCUAUUUGCAAAUAUAUUAAUAAUAACAAUAACAAUAAUUUAAUUGACCAUAAAAUCUAUUUUUAUUCAUAAAAUUUGGAAGGAUUACACUGAGUACAAUUUCAGAAACCAAAAUACAAAUACAAGAGAAAAGGAAACUAUCAUCCUAAGGAUCCCUAGCAAUUGCACUAGAUGAUCGGGUUAUGGGUGCGUACUUCCUUCGGAUGUGUCGAAUAAUCAGGCUAUGAGCCUUCUCAAGAACUAAUUGAUCUACAAUCUUCUUCCAAGCACCGGAAGGCUAAGGCGUACUAGAGGAAGGUAGACCCUCUGGAUCUCUCUGUCUCUUAACUGCUCGGUCUUCAAGAAUCUCAAUAAGCACAUCCUUGUCUUUCGACUCAAGCUGCAACUCUUCAUGCUUCCGGCUCAAAGCACGGAGCCGCUCUUCCCACAUAUCUUUCUCUUGCUUCAUCUUGGCAAGUGAGUCUUCCAACUCCUCUACAUUUUGGUUAGAGAGAGUUGAUGAC
rnacentral:lncRNA from 1 species